rnacentral:lncRNA from 1 species
CCAUACAUGUUAGAUCCAAGCCAUAGAAUUUUCAUUGAUUUUACAUCUCAAGGCUCUUUGGGUAGUUUGGCUCUCUUUUUUUGUUUAUUUAUCACACUAAAAUAACACAUAAAUAAAAUGGCAAAACUAGUGUAUCAGAAAACUGGCUAUUAAAAAAAAGCAAGAUCCCCCUCUUUGGUGGCCAGGUAUGCAUAAAUUGAUUCUGUUAUCCAUGGUUUUUGUAAAUUUGAUUUAUCUUUAUAAUGAUUCUUUUCCUGCAUAUUUUCAGAUUGUCUUGAUUCUUGAAGCCUAAAACUAAUGAUAUACUGUAUAUUGUACUGAAUACCUCUUUCAGUGAAUGUACAAUGUGGUUGCUCUUAGGGUUGCUUUGAGAACUAUGAACUCUUUGUUUCUGGAUCUGAUUUGGAACGAUAGUUCCAUUGCCUAUUUUUUAGUAGAUUUCUGAACUUUUUCGUAUAUGCAUCAAAUGAUUACUCAGUUUGCAUACUUUAUUUUUGGGCAAUUUAAAUAUCUUUUAUUAUAUUUGCUAAUGAAACAAUCUAAUAGCUGUAACUAGUUGCCUUGCCCUACUGAUUUAAGACUAAUAGGUUAUUUUGUGUUUAGAAUGAUAUGAUGCUGCAUGUGAAAAAUUUUUACUUGUGACUUGUGAGUGGAAUCAUUUGAAAUAGCGUUUCGGGAACCUUCUGAGAUACAAUGAAGUUAUAUGAUGUAAUGUUUCUUCAAAUCGUUAGCUUUCAAUGGCAACUCCUGUAGUUUGGUUUGAUAUUGCUUUCAUUGUGCCUGCUGAAGCAGUUGAAUUUAAAUAUUCUCGGGGUCACAAAGGUUUGUGUCUUCUGUACUGGAAUUAAUUCAAUCUACCUCGGUUUCUUUGGUAACCCAUCUAGUUUGGUUUGAAAUUGCUUUCAUUCAGCCUUCUGAAGAAGUAAAAAAUAGGUAUUCUGAGGAUCAUAAAGAUUUGUGUCUUCUGUGCUGGAACUUUUUCUAUCUAUCUGGGUUUCAAUGGUAACCCCUGUAGUUUGGUUUGAAAUUUCUAUGAUUCAGCCUGCUGAAGCAGUAAAAAUUAGCUAUUCUCAGGAUCAUAAGGAUUUGUGUCUUCUGUUCUGGAAUUAAUUGAAUCCAUCUGGGUCAUGUUCUCGUUUCUAUUGAUUUCUGGAUCUAUACGUGAUUAGCAUUUAGCAGUGUUCCAUAUGUUCAUGGAAAUUUGUACCAGUUCAAUUCUAACUGAUAUUGCCUUCAUUGACUUGACUUGCUUUUAAUCAUAUCAGACUUUAGUUUGUGUUGGAAUUGAUAAUGUACAUGCCCAGGUUGUAAUCUAUGUGUUUUGUUCAACUAUUUGAACUUUCAAAGAUGGUGUUUAUAUGUUUGUGGUUCUUCAUUUCUAUUCCCGUCCUUUUUCUGUGCUGGAUCCCUUAUUGAGACUAGUUAAUUUUUAGGACCGCCAAAAGGAGAAAGCAAUUAUGAAGAAACUAUAGAAUUUGAUCCAAUUAUUCAUCACAACCAGUUCUGCCCCUGGGUGAAUGGAAAUGUUGCUGCUGCUGGCUGUAGUAGCACCGGCUCUAACACCAGUGCUGAUGUUGUUGCACUUUGUGGAUGGCAGCUGACCUUGGAUGCUCUGGAUGCUCUGCGAUCACUAGGGCAUAUUCCUGUGCAGACAUUACAGUCUGAGUCAGCAGCAUCAUUAUAUAAGGUAGUGGCCUUAAUUCUGAAAUAUGGUUUGUCUGGGGCGUAACUUUUGUUUUCUUGAUUGAACAGCUUAUAGACUGCUUUCAUUGAUGACUAGAAUACAUGUAUCUUUUGAAGAAUUAGAAAUAGAUGGUUAGCUAGCCUCUGCUGUCAAGUCAUGAAUCUGUUUCCUGUUCUUACAUGCAUGGUUUUAUGAAUUAUCUGCUGUUCUCAUUGGUGUGUCCUUGCUCUAGUUUUAGUGAAAAGAGUCCAAAAUUGUGAAAACAUUUCACUGAAGCUUACUUCCUAGCUUUGACCUACUGCUUUAUACACGACACUCAUGCUUCAAUGAGGCAUUUAGAGAUUUAAUCUGUGGAUUGUAGUACUUUCAUGGCUCCUUCAUUCAGUUAAUUCAUAACCAAUGCUGUUGUAGCCAUUAGCAUACCUUAAGCAAAAAGAGUGAAAAAUUUCGGUUGUUCAUAAUCAUUUAAAUCAACACUGUUGAAGCAGUUAUUAUAUCUUUAGCAAAGGAGAGUGUAAAGUUUUCAAUUCGGAUUUUUUAUAAUUAGUUAUUGGUGACCAUUGCUCCUAGAUCAGUUUUCAGAUGUUUGUUAAUAAUUACUAUGAUUGAACUUGUUUUCUUUGGGAAAGAGCUAAGUCAUCUGAUAUCUAGGUAGUUAUGGUUCAUGCCUUUUCAUUUUAGCAAUUAUGGGAGUAGCUGCUACAGGCUACUGGUACCUCUGAUAUGCUUGACACUACUAAUCUAACCCCUCAUUUCCUCAACUAAUUUUGCCUAUUUGCUUAUGCAGGAUGAUCACCAAGCUCCUGGUAAAAAGCUCCUUCGACGGAACUCAAUAAACAAAAGUUGCGGGCAACAUUGACAGUCAAGCAUAAAGACACCUGCAAUGACUAGUAAGUAUGUCACUUGUGUAAAAUGAUUUGGUUGUAGCUUCCCCUAAUCAUGCAUCUUUCUUUAUGUAAUCCUUGUUUUAACUAGAUUUGGGAUCAUCAUAACAAGUUUAGGAGAGAUACUUUUAGGUAUUGAGCAAAUUUAGGGAGGGUGGGCCAAGCCUAAGAGUGUGUGUGUGUGUGUGUAUUUAUAUAUAUAUAUAUAUAUAUAUAUAUAUCCUACAUUUUUUCAAUACAAAAAGGUGUUGAAAAGAUCUACUUGUUAUACGGUUCCCAGAUCUACAAUGUCUGUGUAUAAAAAAAAUCAGAAUACUUGAUCUUAGGUUGAAAAAAAUUAGAUAGUUCUCUUGCAAAGGGGUGUGAUUAUUUGCUAGCUUUAAUGUAAUUAAUUGUUGGUCACACAGCUAUUACAAGCAUUUCUUUUUGGCAGGAAGUAAAAGUUAUUUACAUUUAUUUUAUUGUUUGAAAGGAGGAUCUUGACUAUCAAUCUGAUUAUACUUCAUUGCUGUAAUGAGAAUUGUGAUUUAAUUAGAGAGUCUAGAUGCAUGGAGAAACUUUUUGAUUUUCUAAAUGACAACUAAAUGAAAUAGGUGAUUUGGAGCUGGAGUUUUGUAAAAAAAUUACCAAUUUUAGGUUAUUAAUGCCUAUUAUUAAAGAAAAAAUUUGUUAAUCAUGGCCAAACCUAAGAGUGCAACAAUAAAUUAUGAAAAGAUAGAAAUAUGUAUUAGCAUUAUACAUUUAAUCUCCCAGAGUUAAAUAUAGCUACAAAUGCAACCUUCUUUUGAACUCCAAGGAAAAAUGAAAAAAGAUGUAUGUUACAAUUACAAGUUUAAUUGGCAUCCUAAAGUUAAAUACCUGCAACUGUUAACAAUGAAUGUAACCUUCUUUAAAAUUCCAAAAAGAAUGAUUACAUUGAGAUAUCUUCAAUCAUAUGUGCCAACAUAGUCAUGAUUUUAUAAUCUGAAGAAAGCAUGAUUUUACAAGUUAGAACAGACAUCUGUGCUUUUCUCAACAAGACAAGCAGUAAAACAAGUAAUUUAGACAUACAAACCUUAUGCUGCAAAUAUGAUUGUCUCCUUGACAGAAUCUGCUCUACUGUAGCAACAGUUUGCUUUAAGCAUGCAGCAAUGUAAUUAUGAAGUCCACAUAUGCCAAUGUCAUGUAGGAAGGUAUAGCAUUCAAUGAUUGGAGCAAAUUGGAAGCUUUUUCAGUAGUUGCUAUUGGAAUUGUUGCCAGGGAAAGUUAUGUCAAUUCUUACUCCGAUCUUAUUAAAACCUUGUUUCACGGUAAAGUAAUUUGUAUUAUUCGAGUGAGAUACUUGUCUAUACUGCAUAAAUUAUGUUUUUGCUAUCUUUAAGCAGGUUCUUCUGACUAUUAUGAAUAUUAUUAUUAUUCACUUGAUCACUGAUGUAAGUUAACAUUGCUGUUGAGAACAAAUGUCACUAGUUCUACAAUUUUCAUUUGGGAUUCUAAUUUCAUGUUUUGGAAAUUGUGAUGACACUGCUAAUAAGACGGAGAAUUUUGGUUUUGUUGAUAAAUGAUGGAUACAUAACAUAGUCAUUAUGCAUUUGGUUCGGUGUCUGCUAAUAAUGCUAUCAUGUGGCAUACUGGAUGGUUGUCUUGAGUUUUUUACUCCUAAUUCUAGUAAUGAAGUGUAUUUUGUUCCACUUUUUUUCCUGGGCAAUUCUUUUUGCAGUUCUGUUUUUCUUGCGCAAUGCAUUUGUAAGUUCAGCAGCUGGGAAAGGGAGAGUAGCCAAUGGACUACAAAUAUUCUUCUGAUAGUUUGAAUUUUGUUUUAUAAAGUCUUUGAUGUUGAUUCUGGAUUGAAAUACAUGGUGAAUGCAAAUUUAGGACAAUGUGAGGACAAAAAGAGUUAUUAUUAUCAUUAUUAUUUGCUUCUGGGUUUUGGUGUCUUUAAUAGAUACGAGUAUAUUGUAAAUUAAGUUGGCUCGACCAGGCUUAGCUGCCUUUUGAAGCAUGUUUUUUAGGAGGACAUGAUGUUGAUAUAACACCAUUAAAAGAGGUGGGGAAUUAGCGAUUACACGCAGGAGUGGGGUGGCCCGUAUCAAGAACUGGGCCACCCAAGUCAUCUAAAACAAAUCUGACUCUAGCCAAUCAUUUUCUACUCAAUCUCAACGUGUCAUUGUCAAAUAACAUACAGAUAAGACCAAUAAGAUUAGUUUUCGGACAAGGAGCCUAUCUCUCUCUGUUUCUCGACCGUCUGAGCAACUGCAUUACAAUCUUCUCUAUGCAUCUCUUCUAAUAAACCCGCAUUUUCCCCUACAAAUUCCCAAGAAGCAAACAACCUUUUACCAGCAAAACCUAAAAGCCUCCUCCAUGAACACCAACUCUACUCGUCAACUCAUCAUAAUCUGUCCCUUCAAAUCAAAGAGAAAAUUUUAAGCCCUGAAAUCAUGGCCAUUGACUUGGGUAAAGUGCUCUCUCUUAACCCUUGUCUUCACAUCACUUUCCUUGAUUCACUCCAUUCCAUAAUUUCCUUCCUCCAAUCGAAAGGCAUUCACCAAAAGGACUUCCUAAGAAUCUUUGGUAUGUGCCCCAAAAUCUUAACCUCUAACAACCCAGUUUUCAGUUUCCUCUCCCAAUACCUUAAUGUCCCUGAAAACAUAGAAAGUUCAUUAGUAAGUGUCCAAGAUUACUUACUUCGAGUGUCAGAGACCGGCUAAAACCAGCUUUGUUCUAUCUUAAAAGGCUUGGAUUUAAACAUUUAGAAGCUUUGGCUUAUCAAGAUCCUAUAUUGUUGGUUUCUAGUGUUGAACAUACCUUGAUACCUAAACUGAAGUUCUUGGUAAGUAUAGGGUUUUCAAGUAAUGAGGCUAAAAGCAUGGCGUUGAGGUGUCCAGGGUUGUUCACUUUCAGCAUAGAAAACAACUACAAGCCAAAAUUUGAGUACUUUAACGAGGAGAUGAAUGGAAAGUUGGAGGAGUUGAAGGAGUUUCCUCAGUUCUUUGCUUUUAGUUUGGAGAAGAGGAUAAAACCAAGCCACAUUGAAGUCAUGAAAAGUGGGGUUAAAUUGCCUUUGGCUAACCUGCAAAAGAGUACUGAUGAACAGUUUAAAAGGUUGCUGAGACAAGGAGGCAAUAGUUGAUGAUAUGUGAUUUUCUUCUGUUUCUUUUGGGUCCUUGUUUCAUAUGUAAAUUGGGCAAUUUCAUUCAAUGCACCGUAAAUAAAAGACCAGAGCUGUAAGAUAUUGAAAUGGGAGUGACGUACUAUGUUUUACUUUAUUUUAUUUUAUUUACCGUUUUUUACUCAACCCACGUAUCACAUAUGGAAAAGUUUCAUAUGAUUAUGCAAUUAAGAGAUCAAGGCCUAAGGUUUGAGUGGAAUGGCCUAAUGGAACUUGCAAUAAGAAAUCGAUAUGCAGUUUUUCAUUUUUAACAUCACUGUUGGAAUAUAUAUAUAUAUAUAUAUAUUUUAUUUCGAUAGUGAAGCAUAAAUGAAUUCUUUACAAUUUCCGGGAAGGAGAAAACAAAAGGCCCUUAUAGUUUUGUCCUCUUUGACCGAAAAAGGCAAUCAGUUAAUCAGACAAAGAUACCAUAACCAGAUAAAGGACUUUGAUAAGGAAAAACGUUAUCCUGUGUUUCUCCAAGAGUUUAACGUUCCUAUAUCAGGGAGAUGACGGUUCUUUUUUCUCGGGUAAUUACUAGGAUUUCAGGGACUCCCAGAAAAACCUUGUUUGGCUGCCCUCAACACUGCCAAUCUCUUGUCUUUAGCACUAGCUGUCUAUCUUCCACUGAUUCUAACCCAAAGGUACUUUCAAAAGCUUUGAUCUUCUUUGUUUUCUAUAGCAGCAACUGAUUAAUUGGUUUGAGCAUGUCAUUUCAAUUUUAUUUUGUUAAUUAUUAUGUGUGAAACGGGUUCUAUGUUAGAGUGGAAGGUGCCAUUGUGAUUUAUAAUUUAAAGAGUCAAUUAAUCUAUCUUCAGGGUGUUUAAUAAAAAGUUUUUUGGGUGUCAAUUAGUGGAAAAUUAUUUUCAAGAACAUCAAUCAGCUCAUUUAAAGAUUAAAAAUUAAGGCCAGAGAAAUUCUUUUGCUUUCUCUUUUCUGGGUAGGUUUUGUUUAACUAUUCUAUCUUUUUCUCUUCCUAUAGGGAGAUGCUCUUUUACAGGAAAAGGUGGACCCAUUUUCACUUGUUGCUGAUGAAAUCUCACUUGUUUCAAAGAGAUUGCGUUCAUCUGCAGUUGCUAAGGUAUUUGAUUGUUAUUUCUCGUCUUUUGGCUGUCUCAUAUGUAGAUAUGCUCGGACGGGGUAAAAGAAAGCAAUGACUUGUUACAAUUAAAACUUGGAUUCCUAUGUCAUCUAGGUCCCUGAGCUUGCCUCAGCUGCUGGAUAUUUAUUCAAAGAGGGGGUUGAAGGAAAGAGGACAUGUUCCACGGUAAUUAGAAUAAUGCUAUUUUUUUUAUGUUGCUGUGGUUCAAUAUGGUUUUAGAAACCUAUAGCAAUCAUUUCCUUGAUUGUCAGUUCCAUUGAUGCUUCUUCUAGUUGCUAGAGGAAACCUUCCACCCUUGAGCUAUGAUGCUGUCAUAAUAUAUAGCCUUUCUGUGCGUCUCAUUUACAUGGUUAGAUUCUUCAUACUUAACUUAUAAUUAAACUGUACUGCAUAUAGUUAUAAACAACGUUCAUUAUUUUGUUCCUUUAUCUCCAACCUAAAGAAAUUGAGAGAUGUCCGGUAUUUGAGGUUCCCACCUCGAGGUGCAUCUCCCUUGGUCAUUUGACAUUUGCUUCCAACCCUUCUAUUUGUGUUCUACUGCCUUUCAAUGAGCUAAAAAGGAAAGUUUUAUGCAGGUCUUGUUGUUGAUGGCUACGGCUAUGGAUAUACAUAGAUCUGAGUCACCUUUAAAUUGCAUUGGAAAUACAUUGAGAAUAAUUGAACUGCGUAGGAGACAGCAACUUAUUGCUGAAAUAACCGAGAUGAUCCAUGUUAGUUCUUCACAAAAUUCUGAUUUUUGCUAUGGUAGUUGCUCCCAUGUCAAGAAACAUUUUUAAUAUCCAUUGGUAGACUAAUUUAAUAAUCUUGUGAUCUUAGGUGGCUAGCCUUAUUCAUGAUGAUGUCUUGGAUGAUGCAGAUACAAGACGUGGUAUUGGUUCAUUAAAUUCUGUGGUUGGAAAUAAGGUGACUAUACACUUCUUUUAUAAUUUUUCGAUUUAUACAAGUCAUUGAUAAACUUCUAGGUUGAAAAUUCUACCUGAUUUAUGGAACAAAAUUUCUUAUGGUACUCUUCGCAAAUAAGCAUGUCUUAAUACAGUAUUUGAAGGUGAACGACACUAGUAGUUGGCAUAAGAAUAAUGCAAUUUGUAAGGGUGUAGGUCUGUGAUGUAGUUCUAAGAAUAGGUGAAUUCUACUGCUCUACUUAACUGUUCCACUCUAGCCCUUGCUUGGUUCCACAGCAAAGCUUUGACAGCAUGGCUUUGUACCCUUGACAUUCUUUUAGAGGUUAACUGGUUGAUCUAGAUCUAGGGGAAAAAUGUGCACCUAGUCAUCUUAUUGAGUUUUUCAGGCAGGGAGAUACUAAUAUAGGCAUCAGAUAUUGAUCCCAAUUCUAAUAAACCUUUGCAAAUUGACAACAAAAUAAAAACAUCUUAUGUUAAUUGAAAUGCAAUUAUUAUUUUACUAUUCAUUCAUGUUUAUUUAUCUAUAUGAUGCAGUUAGCAGUGUUAGCAGGAGAUUUUCUGCUUUUUCGAGCUUUAGGGGCACUUGCUUCCUUAAAAAAUACAGUGGUAUGUGUUUACAUAUAAUCUAUCUGCAUAUAUGUAUUUAAAGAUGGUUAUAUAUGCAAAUGUAUGAUUUUGAGGGAGGAAAAUACGGUCUUCUAAAACCUAAUCCUUGAUUUUCCUCUUUAUGGGAAUGGAUUGAAGUAGAAGCCUUCUUCAAUGCUUUGACCAAUGACAUUUGAUGUCGAGAAAAUGCUGUGACAUCCAAUGUCUUUUUUUGAAUCAAUUCUUCAGCUGUGUAUCUUCUUAUUCGUGGUUGGCCCUUCCUGCCUUUGUAUCUUCUUAUGCAUAGUGGCCAUAUUGUAGGCUGCAAUUGCUCCGCUUUGUUUGUAUACAUUUUUUGGUCUGCUGCCCAAGGCUAAUUAUGUGGUGUAAAACUGACAGUACACACCGACACUUCAUUAGACAGCCAAACUUAAAUAUGGCCUUGUAAGAGUAUCUGAUUCUUUUACAUCAUUAUUACUGUCUAUUGUCCAUUGAUUCUGAUAUUGUAUUAAUUUGUAGAAAUCGUGGGCAUUCAUCUAGUUGUUCACAUUAUGUUUCAAACCAUUAUAUGUGCUGCAGGUUGUAUCGCUACUAGUAACAGCAGUAGAGAAUCUUGUUACUGGUGAAACCAUGCAAAUGGCAGCAACAAUUGAGCAGCACUGUAGGUAUGAUUGUUUUUUUGCCCCACUUCUGUGCUUAUCCCUGCAAAUUAAACCAUACCUGUGAUUAAAGAGAAAAAUAUUGUGGAUAUGCUUGCCCUUGACUUGGCUCAGACAGCCAAAGAAAACCUGUUUGGCUAGUUGUCUGCUGUAGAUUAAACUGGCUAAAUUGCACAAAAGUCGCAGUGAGUUAUCAUCCAUCAGGUUUGUAGAACUUGAUAAAUCUUGUCCUUGCAAAAGGCUUAAAUUUUACUUAACAAUAUAAUGGUUCAACCAUUGUUAAAUGAAUGGCUGCAUCAGUGACUCACAACCAAAUUAAUGUAUGUCAUUUUAAAGAACGUUAGGAUGCUUUGUAGUUUGGUGUUUUCCAACAUUUAUUUGAAUCUGUGCCAUUCUUUGGCCUUUUCUUUUGGGUUGCAAAUGUGGCUUAAAUUUACACAUACAGACCUUCCGGGAAACUUGUAGCUAUGUAUGAAUAAAUGGUUGGCAUGCAGAGCACCCCGCUUACACCUUCAUGUGUGUAUUUAUUUGUGCAUAAUAAUUAUAAUUUUGUUCACAUCUACAUUUGAUUCAUAGCAGCAUGGAGUAUUAUAUGCAAAAGACAUAUUACAAAACUGCAUCAUUGAUCUCGAACAGCUGCAAGGCUAUUGCCCUUCUAUCCGACCAAACACCUGGAGUUGCAAUGUUGGCUUUUGAAUAUGGCAAAAAUUUGGUUUGUAAAUUUCCUAAACUCAUCAUCUUACCCGAUAAGAAAUUUAUUAUAAGUGGCACAAUAAUGGAAUCUUCUUUAGUUUAUGGCCAAUAUUCCUUUAACAAAAAAUUCUGUCAUCUUACUAUGUUUACCAAGAUUCAUGUUUUACAGCAUGCAUUUUUUUUUUGGUUCACCAUCUCCUGAUUCUUUAAAUUCCUUUCCCAGGGAUUGGCAUAUCAAUUCAUAGACGAUAUUCUCGAUUUCACAGGCACAUCAGCUUCCCUUGGAAAGGGUUCUUUAUCUGACAUACGGCAGGUAAUUCAUCUUCCCUUACUGUGCUAUCUCUCAGUUCCUGAAAAUAUUAGAUUGUCAUAGGCUUAAAAGCUUUAAACAUAAACAUUUUUAGCCUUAUUAGGCUCUGCAUCUGUAUUUUGACAACUCAAGCAGCCGUUAAUCAUUUUCUUUUGUACAAAGGAGGCCACAGCCCGGAAUAAAAGAAGAGAGAGAUUACUGGUGCUGAGAUUUGAACCCUAAACUUGGGGAUGCCACCUUUUAAGAGUGACUGCAUGAACUAACUUAACUAAAUUCCUGAUUCAACCAUUAAUCAUCUUUGCUUGUUCGUUUAAGCCUUCUGAGUUUGGUUUGGAAGGAAUAUAAACAACCAUGUGUGGAGAUCAUUCCAUUUUGUCGAAACCCUUUUUCAUAGUGCAUCCAUUGAUGAAUGUAUUUGGUUUUUUUUGCCUGCCAGAAUCAUGUUUGCAUAAUUUAUCAUAUAGUAUAUAUUUUUGCAGGGAAUCAUAACUGCUCCUAUAUUAUUUGCCAUGGAAGAGUUUCCUCAGUUGCAAGCUGUCAUUGAGCAGGGCUUCAACAACCCUGCCAAUGUCGAUACUGUAAGUUUGAAUUUACAACCUGAUGCCACUUAAAGCAAACUGGUGAAUAUGCAUUUACUUUUGUCAAAUUUUAUACUAUGAUUUUGAGAACACAGGCUCUUGAGUACCUAUGGAAAAGCCAUGGAAUACAAAGGACGAGAGAGCUAGCAACAAAGCAUGCUAAUCUUGCUGCUGCAGCCAUUGAUUCUCUGCCUGAAAGCAGCAGCAUGGAUGUAAGGUUUUCAUUGCAAGCAUACGACAAAAAUUUUCUUAUCAAUUUUGUUAUACUUGAUCAAUAAUUAUAGUUUUACAAUUGGUUUGAGAGAUUUGUGCGCUGCAAUGAUUUUUUUUUAUAACUUGCUUUCAGAAACAAUAAAUCUUAUAUUAAAUUAGGGGAAUUGAAACUUUAAAAUCAAGCAUUUCAUUAAGCAGAUAAGAUAAAAAUUAAUAAAAAUUAUAAUAAUAAUAUUUAAAUAUUACAUUUUGUUUAAUUAAAUUGAGGUAUGUUCGUUUUGACAUUAAAACUUAAAGUUCUUUUGAUUUUUAUAAUGAAAAUAGUAAAAUAAUUUUAUGUGAGCUUUCUUUAUUUGAUAUGCAUUGUUAACUGUUGUAUCAAUGAAAUACAAUAGUGAAAUGAUUGAAUUGGGGGUACUCCAAUGUGAUACAAGUAAAAAAGUAAACUACGAAGAAAAUAUAAUAUCGCUUGCUUUAUUUAUUGAAAAUAUUAAUCUUUAUAAGAUGAUAAGUAUAUCUACUUUGUUAUUAAAAUUUAUCAUCUUAUAUUAAUAAUUUAAUAUUGAGAUGGAGAUGAAAAGUUUUUUUUUUAUGAGACUUUUCAAGACAAUUAUUUACGGGAUUUACAAUUUUUACUUUUUGAAUCAAAUUAUUUAAAUAACAAAAAAUUAUUAUUUUUUUAAUAUUGUAAUAUAAAUUUUUUUUCAUAAAAUACAUAUAUUCAAAUAUAAAUGAUAAAAUAAUUAAAGUAAAAAUAAAAUUAUAUAUUUUUAAUAAUGAAUGAUAAUUUAAUUAAUUUAUAUUUUAUUAUAUUUUUAAGUAUUAUUCAAUUUAUAUCUUUAAAUUAGAAAAAAAUUUUCAUCAUUUUGUCCCAGGUAAAAUUGGUUUUUUUUUUCAUCUAAUUUGUUGGUUGUUUUAAGUUUGGUUUUGAUGUGAUUUAAAGUCUUGAAUCAGGUGAUUCUUUUCAGUUUAGCAUUUGAUCUUCUGACAGUUUACAGUUGUACCAUAUUGUACAUGUUGAUGAAUUGAAUAAAUAAUUUUGUUAAAGGGUCUCUGUUUAAUGAAAAGACGUUCUUUUUUUAAUGUCAAUAUAAUUGAAACUUAGAUUAAGUUUUAGUUAAACCAGAAUGAUUGAUCUUGGAUAGAACUUAGAUCAAAGUUGAUAGCUUUAGUGCUGCUUUAGCCAAGAUUUUACACUUAACAUACUUAAUUCAACAUUAAUUUUUGCAAUUCUUUGAGAGUGGAAAAUUAAGAAAGUAUGUAGCUGAAGUAUUGGAUGAAAAGAUUAAGUGGUUAAAUUUAUUGAUGAUAUGAUUAUUUAGGUGUCAAUUAGGGCUCUUUCUUGGUAUUAUGUCAUUGUUCGAUUUGGUUUCUUGCAAAAAAUUUCAUUUCCGGAGGAAGAAGUUAAUGCCACUGGUAUUAAUUGAAGUUGUUUGAGGUUUAAUUGAACCAAUGCAUGCAGUAUCCUAAUAAAUACUUCUGGUGUGAUAUUGUACUAAGGCUUGUGAGAUAAGUAGGCACUUGUGGAUAUUCCUAUUAAAUUAACAAGUUAUGAAUUAUACUAUUUUUUAUUCUUUUUAGACAAAUAAAAUUUUUUAAAAUUUUUAUUUAACAUGUUUAUGUUAUUUUUAUUUUAAAUGAAAAUUAGCCAGUAAAAAUAUAUAAAAAAAGAAUAUAGUAAUUACUAUUAUUAUUAAAAUUUUUUAAUUUUUUAAUUCAAAAAUGACAAUAAUUCAAUCUCUAUAAAUCAAAACGAUGAUCAUAUUAUAACUUAACUGUUAUAUGUAUUUUAUAUAUGCUUUAAAAAUGUAAACUAAAUAAUAUUAAUUUAUGUAUUUAUAAAUAUUUAAAUAAAUAAAAUUAAUUCGUGAGUCAAGAGCUAGUAUAAUAAUAAGAUAAAAGCAGCCAAAGGUUUUUUUCUUCACGUGGCUCCUGGCUAAAGCUGCGCUUCGUCAUUCCAGAAAAUUUAAAAAAAAAAAAAAAGAGUUGUUUUAAUUCGUGUGUAGACUUAUGCUUUCUGCACACAUUAACCAAAGUUGGUUUGGCUGCUUCUGAUCAUAACCAAAGAUUUUCUCUGAAUAAAAAAUUGUUCAUUUUUCUGGGUUUUUCUUCUGCUUGGAUUACUGCUAAAGUAGUAUUUAGAGAGAGACUGAGAGAGAGGUGAGGAUGUUGUUUUGUCGGGGAUUUUCUCGGAUUUCUACAACUCCCAGAAAGAGCUUGUUUGGUUUCAUUCUCUCUCGUUCAACUGACCCUUCUCAAUCCCUUCCUUCUAAUCAAUAUCUUUACUCUACUAUAAAGGUAAUGCCUUGAUUCUUAUCUUUUCUUUUUCCUUAGCUCUUAAAACGCAGGAAAAAAAAAUGUGAGUCUCAGUUCCCCUUAAUUUUUUAGUUGUUUUAAAGAUUUCUUUCCAUUUUUUAAAAAUUUUUCUGGGUUUUUGUUUAUUGUUCAUUUUUUUUUUUCAUUAGUAAGAGUUCAUCUAUUUCUUCUCCGUUGGUAAAGCUAACUGGGAAAUGGUUCAGGCAUUCUGUUUGAUAAAAGGGCACAUUUUUUUUUUUCUGUUGGGUUGUGUUUGUUUGUUGCUUUAUUGCUUUAUCCUUGCCUUGGGUUUUUUUUAAGUCCUUAAAAGCAAGUUUUGGGUGCACAAUUGAAAUGCAACGGUGAACGGUGUUGUGACUAUGCCCGGCAUGAAUUAAUUCGGUGGUCAAAGCUACUUCUUUUAGUCAAAGUAAAGUUGGUGAAGUGAAUUUGUAGAUUGAUAAGAAUCACCAUUGUCCAACGGGUUAUAUGAUGACUGAAUCAAAUGAGCCGCCAAGAAGAUGCCUGGGAAAGGACUAUAGCUAUGUUCAUGGAUUUUUGUAUGAUAAUAGUCGAUAGAUAUUUUACAAUCUCUCUUUCUUUCUUUCUUUCUUUAGCCCAAUUUUUUUUUUAAUGAAAUGUAUGUGAUAGGAAAGAGUGAUUGUAAAUCUUGUAUGUACUGAUCAUUUAUCUUUUUUGUUGUUAUUGUGUCUGGGGAUUAGUAGGUUUGUGGUGGUAAAAAAUCUUUAUCUUGGAGUUUGCCUUCAUUGCUUGGCCUUGGACGGCAAAUUCAUCAGAGCAGCUACCUAGUAGAGGUUAUCAUUUCAUUAUUCAUUCUCCUAAAUUUCUGAGUUUUUUUUUUUUUUUUACCUUUGUUUAAUUUCUCCAUAUAGGACAAGAGACAUGGUUGCCCAGGGAACAGAAUUUCUAUAGUUAGUUUCUACAAAGUAAUCCACAAGUGUGUUAACAUUUUUAAUGUUAAAAGAUGAAACAAGUUCUACAACUUCAGCCAUAAGUUGAUUGCUUUCCCAUGUGUAUUGUUUGUUAUUGUUAAUUGUUGGUUCCCAUGAUCUCUAAGAGCUACUAGUUUGUUUAUCUCCCCUCUUUCUCUCUCUCCUCCUUUUCACCCUUAUUUUAUCUUGUCUUUAAUAUUGAGAGGGCAAGACAUUUCCUUCAGGAACAACUUGACCCUUUUUCACUUGUCGGUAAUAGGUUGCGGAGUAUGGUUGUUGCUGAGGUAUCCCACUGUUCUUUUUCAUGUCUCUGAAUGAAAUUUAUUACAUUUCCUUAUGUGAGAAAGCAAUAACGUGAUGAAAAUUGCAUAUUCAUCUCAUACAGGUUCUAAAACUUGCUUCAGCUGCUGAGUACUUCUUCAAAAUGGAGGUGGAAGGAAAGAGAUUUCGUCCUACGGUAAUGUAUUCUUUCCCAUAUGGUAACCUUGAGGUUCCUCGUCUUCUUAUUGCAGUUUUUCGUAAUUUUGAUGGGUUAUGGCAAUUGGUGUUUUUACCGUGGGCUCAGUUAUUGCUUCUAGGUUGCAAUAGGCAAGGGGACCAUCCAAAAAUUUUUAGAUGAACUACCCUUGUAGCAUGCCAUAGGCACAGUUUUGUUCUUGACUCAUUCCAAAAAAACCACUUGACUGAGGUGUAAACUUAAUCUCUGUUACUUUUCAUCUGGGAAAUUAUAAACCAUUCUCAGACUAACCUCGUUUUGAAAUUAUAAUUAUGAUUACUUUCUAAAAUGGUUAUUGUAUAUGUUCCAUGCUGGUUUUGCUUUUGAUCGCUACAGCUUUGAAUGUUCAUAUACCUGACCCAACUGUUGGUGGUGUAGGAGAUACCUUGAAAACUGAUUUACGUACAAGAUAGCAGUCUAUAGCUGAGAUCACAGAGAUGAUCCAUGUCAGUUCCUCUUUUUUUAAGUUUCGUUUAUCAUAUGUGUUGUAUGUACUGAAGCUUCUUCACAACUCCCUUUAGUCUAAUACAAUCAUUCCCUCAUCUAGGUUGCAAGCCUCCUCCAUGAUGAUAUCUUGGAUGAUGCAGAUAAAAGACGUGGUAUUGGUUCAUUGAAUGCUGUAAUGGGCAAUAAGGUACUCUUCUUUUCUAGUUCUCUUGCAGCAGGCAGAAGAAGUUUGUGGCCUAAGUAAUUGCUAAACUUUUACUGCUUGUUUAUGAUGCAGUUGGCUGUAUUAGCUGGAGAUUUUCUGCUUUCUCGAGCUUGUGUGGCCCUUGCUGCUUUAAAAAACACGAGGUGCUUCUAAUUUUUUAUUAUUAUUGCAUCAUUUGUGUGAUGAAUUUGGCCAAUGUAACUAUAUAUUGAAAAUUAGUUGCAUAUAUGGCUGUAGGUUGUAUCAUUACUAGCAACAGUUGUGGAGCAUCUGGUUACUGGUGAAACCAUGCAAAUGACCACUUCAUCUGAACAACGUUGUAGGUAUACUGGUCUACAACUCUGCAGCAAUAUUUCUUCAUAUCAUCACCAUGUUUUGCCACUUUCUAACUGCUUUUGAUUUAAACACUUGGAUGUCCAGCAAGGUGUAGGCCCUGUGAUAGCCAUCACGGUAGUGGCGGGCUAGAUACAUGAUUAGCAUGUAUAUAUGAUGGAAAGUUAUCUCAUCCACCACUACUGGAGUUUUAAACUCCACCAGUGGGAUUAGCAGAGUGACACAUACCCCUGUAGGGCAUACUAAAAAUAAUUAAAAAAUUAAUAUAAUGAAAAAGAAUACACUUGUCAGUCUCUUAAUCCCACCAGUGGAGAUAAAAUUUCAGAUUUGGUGUAUAGAAAAUGGAGUUAUAAAUGAUUUCAUAUGUUUAUGCUGAUCUUUUCUUGAGUUAUUAAAUUAAUGAUAGUUACAGCUUAUUGUAGUCUAAUGCUACUGCUUGGCAACUUGAACAUUUUAGAAAUUUUCUCUCAUUAGCCACAUGUUUGCAUGGUAACCUGUAAAUGGUACUAACUUUGUUGACUCAGUGGUUAUCUUUCAGUACAAGCUGUUUAUAUUUGUAGAUAACACCUAGUUUCUAAGCUAUAGAUUGUUAUGGAUUUUGUAAGCAGCAUUCUAUAGAUUAUUUGUGUGUCUUAUUAUGCGUUUCCAUGCUAAUGAUUGCCAAUGGUUAACUCUGUCUUGUCCUGAUUUGAAUUUUAAGGAUAAUUGCUUGUAGUUAACUGAAGUGAGAAUAAUUUUUCAUGAUGCAGCAUGGAAUAUUACCUGCAAAAGACAUACUACACGACUGCUUCCUUGAUUUCAAACAGUUGCAAGGCAAUUGCACUUCUUGCUGGGCAAAGUGCUGAAGUUGCAAUGUUGGCCUUUGACUAUGGCAUAAUCUGGUUUGUAAUUUUGUUUAUUUUUUUCUUAUCUUGAACUCAUCAUAAAUUGCAAGAUCUGUUGGGGGAUAUUUUUUAAGAUUAGAGCACAUGUUUCCCUAAGAAAUAGACUUGAAUGAACCUUGGCCCUGCAAAACCUCUAAGUGAUUAGAACCCUGUUUAGGUGAUAGAAAAUUGGUGUUAAUAUGAUAAUCAUUAUAAAGCCCUAACUCCUUUCUUCUUCUCUAUAAAUAUAAAACCCUAACUCCUAAACUAAUUAAUAAGUAAAUUAGUUUAGAAGUUGCCUUUGGAAUGAAGAGAAGCGCCAUAAAAUUUGAUAUGACCUGUUAUGCUAGUUUCAGAUAUGGCCAGCUAAGAGGACAAGCAAAUAAAUAGAUCUGAAGAUAGACUAAUCCUAUAACAACUCAUUCACAUUUUUAUUGUCCUCUUUUGCAUAAUAAACCUUUGUUUACUUGAUACUAUUUGAUUGAUUUUCUAAGUCAGAAUGGAUGGUUGUGGCUCAAUGGUUUUUGUUGCAAGUGCCAACUUGCUUCUGAUUACAACAUGGUUCACCAAAUGUGAAGUUGUCACUUUGUGCAAAAGUGUAAUACUGGAUAAUUUUAAAGCCAUAGAAUACCAUAUAUUUAAUAAAACUUGUGGAGUGAUUAUGGAGCAACUGAGAUUUAAGUAUUCUUAGCUGUAAGCUGUAGAACAAUCAGCAUAAUAUUUGAUGUCUUUUAUCCAUGUUACAUCGACUACAUUGUUCUAUUUUAUGUGUUGUUGUUUGGUCUAACUAUCUAUUUUUUCUAUUGCCUUUUCUAGGGAUUGACAUUUCAAUUGAUAGAUGAUGUUCUUGAUUUCACAGGCACAUCAGCAUCCCUUGGAAAGGGUUCUCUAUCUGACAUCCAGCAUGUAAUUUUCUAUCUUUGAUGUCUUAAGCAAAUGUUAAAUGUCUGUAAGCUAGUAAUAGCUUAUGGAAGCAUAUAAUUGUAAUCCACAUAGGCAGGCAGAGUUGUAUAAUAGUUCUUCUAUAUAAUCUAUUCAAACUCCCUUGUCAACUACUUUUUUUUGUUUUCUUUUCAGUUGUCUACUCUCUAAAGUGUACAAAGGAAGAACCUUACUUUUAUUUUUUGGCCAAGUUUUUCUUACUGACUUUUCACAAGGGCUUUCUUUUUAGUUUAUACUAGGUUAACAAGAUGCUUUUAAAUGGCAUACAUAAUGAUGAAUACAUCAGUUCAUCACAAUCAUCCGGUGUUGCAGGGAAUUGUAACAGCUCCAAUAUUGUUUGCCAUGGAAGAAUUUCCCCAGUUACAUGCUGGUGUUUAUCAAGGUUUUGACAACCCUGAAAACAUUGACAUUGUAAGUAUAAGUAAUUUACAUUUUAAGCAUUAUAUGUGUUUGCUGAUGUUAAUCUUCUAUUUCUAUGUUGCUUUGGUCUCUGUAUACAAUUUAUGAAUUUACCAACUUUUCCUUCUUAAGGUAUUCUUUUAGUCUUCACACGAUCAAUGAUGAAGAGAGUAUAUAACUUGUGUGGUUUUAAGCGACCACCAUCCUUUUAACUUUUUUACUUGGUUACAAAUUUGACUUGCAGAGUCAUUAAACUUGUGCUUUUUACAUUUAACUAUGUUUGUGCAUCUAUAUGAACCUUUAUUUUGUCAAACUCACUUUAGUUGAUCUGUAUCUUAAACAUAUAGGCCCUUGAGUACCUUGGGAAGAGUAAUGGAAUACAGAGGACAAGAGAGCUAGCAAUGAAGCAUGCUAACCUUGCUGCGACAGCAAUUGGUUCUCUACUGGAGAGCAAUGAUGAGAACGUAAGAAAGUCAAGGCGGGCGCUAGUAGACCUCACUCAAAGAGUAAUUACAAGAAACAAGUGGCAUAGUUGAUAAGACUAUCAACUUUUACCAAUUCAUGGUGCCAGCGGUUUUGCUUAGUGUUUUAAUCAUUGUUCCUUCAAGGUGAGUUGAAAUCUGCCCUCAUGUUUUCAACUGUUACAAAGUUUUUAAUUACUUUUUUGUAAAUGAUAGUUUCUGGGCUAAGACAGUGCACUAGUAUUAUCAGAUUAUGUUGAAUUGCUGUAUUUAUAUUUAGUUAUAACCUGCAAAUUGCUUUUACUAUUUCUGGGCUAAGACAGUGUACUAGAAUUAUCGGAUUAUGUUGAAUUGCAAUAUCUAUAGUUAGUUAUAACCUGCAAAUUGCUUUUACUACCCAGAGUUAAUUUCAAAUACUAACUUCUUGAUUGAUUUUCUGGUUACUGGGUCGUCCAGAUGGAGUAGAAUGUAGGCAUCUUUGCAAAUCAUCAAACAAGCAUACAAAAUUCUUGCAUCUUACCAUAUCUACCAAAUUAACAGUUACAGAUAAUUCUUGCACAUUCCCAUGCUUUUUAACCCUUUAUCAGUGCCCUCAAUCCUUCGAGUCCAAGGACUCCUUGUUUGUUCCAAGCUUCCCAGAAAGGUUCCAAAAUUCCCUGCAUCAUCGACUAGUUGAAGAAGACAUCUUUGGAGAUGAAUGCACCCCAUGCAUCCUACAUCAUAUAGCAUCGUAUUAAAGCUUUGGUUUAGACUAUGGUCACAAUGAGUCACUUUUGUUUCUUCUUUUAAAAUUUAUUGGAAGGGAAAACCCUCUUUGGAUUUCUGCAAACUUUUUCAUGGUGCAGAAGAGAUGCAAGAAAAGGCUAUUCACUAGAAAGUUUACCUGGAGUAUGGAAAAGGCCUUCGCUGCCACAUAUUUUUGUGAUAGUGUUGCACCUCUUUGUUGCAGUUUGUCUGGGUGAAGACAUAGCCUGGCUUUCUGGUAAGCUUUUUUCACUUGUGAGCUUUCUAUAAGGCUCGUUACAGGGGUCAUGUGCCAGCCGCUAUUGGGCCACAGAAUCUGAAUUCAUUUUUCAAUAAACCAAUUAAAAAAAUCCAUUCGUAUGUCGCCUGCAAAUCAAUGAAAUCCUUGAACACGGAAAAGGUUAAUAAUGUCUUACAUGAUGAAGUGUUGAAAGGAGCAAUCGAAUGUUAUUUUCCUUGCCAGAUGACCAAAGGUUCACAUCUUCAUCAAAAACCCCCAUUUUAAUCUGUAGUUUGCAUCAAAGGAAAAUGUCAACACAUUGAUCAAAUCUUGUUCAUAAAUUAAUGAAUAGAAAGAAGCUACAAUGAUGACUAUGCCUAGAUUUAAGAUGUUGGAAAUAUAUAUAUAUAUAUAUAUAUAAUAUGUGUGUGUGUGUGUAUGUAUUUGUGUAUGUAUUUAUGUAUGUAUAUAGUAGAUGCUGUUCCUGAUUUGUCUAAAAAAUCAAACUGGCCAGUGAGUCGUGAAACUUAAACAUCACAACAAGGUUCUAGCUUACAUGUUCUUCUGAUCUCUCCUUUUCUUCUUCUGCUUUCGAUUUCUUCUGUUCUUCUUCCUGCAAAUUGAGGAAAAGAUAUUACUCAACAUUGUGUUGCUUGUGAAAAGGAAAAAGGCAAAAGACUCUUUACCAUUGGAGAUUGUUGCAUUGUUCCAUGGCCAUCCAUUCGCCGGUCAAAGGACUCAUUUGCAUUAUACCUGGCUGCAAACCAUAUAUAAAGCUCUGUUACUUAUCCAGCCAAUUGAGCUUCAUAAUAAAAUUUUGCUGAUCAAAUUCAAAUUUACAAUCUCACCUUCUGUUCCAAUUGGCUGGUCUUUUUCAUGUUCCCUUUCAGAACUUUGAGUAUUGUAGCUCUCCUUCGCCCAAGCAAUUGCUUCAUCAAUUAAAACUGCUUCACCCGUACCCUCUCUAAGAUCAGAAUUGAUCUCAAUAACAUAAGAGCUCAUAACUUCAUCUUCAUCAUCAUCUUCUUCUUCUUCUUGUUGCAUUGAAUCAUUUCGGACUCCAGCUCUAGCCUCAGGCUCUUGACAAAGUGAAGAGGCAGGGGAUGAAGGGGAGUUAAACUCCAGACCAUCAGCUGAUAUUUUGACACUUCGAAAAGAAGGGGGUUCCAAGCUAAUGAUUUCCGGGGAACAGGCACGUCGACAGAAACCAUGAUAUGAUGAGCUUCUCGUCAAGUUGUCGACAUUGUAUUGAUUUUCCAUGUAAAAAUUUUCGUUAUAGAAAGAACGAGUUCUUGGAUAUGCUGGCAUCCCUUGUUGCUUUGCUGGUUCUUGAACUGCCGCCAUUGUUGUCGAGUUCCAUCUGCAUGGAACAUUGAUUGGCCUGCACCACCAAAAUUUGUCUAAUUGAUAAAGAUUUUGGGUGAUAAAACCUAACGUAAUUGUUGGAAACUAACGACAGGGUUUUAAUAAUUUUCACUUUUUUACCCCCAAAGGCAAAAUCUUAAGAUAAUGCUGUUUAAGUGAAGUUUUGAAAACUUUUAUUAAAAUGUAUUAAAGAAAGGAAAGGAUCCGCAACUUAAAAUGUAGCAGAAGUUUUACUUUAUUUAAGCGUAAAUAAUGUGCUUUUGUUUAAAUCUAUUAUUAAUAUUUAUUUAAAUCAUUUUUAUUUUUAAUUAAAUUUUAUUUAUUUUCAUAUUUAUUUUAAAAUCAUUAAAUAUCAACCAUGAAUUUACAUGAAAAUACAUUAUUGACCAUUAUAUAAAGGAGUGAAAAUAUCCAUUAUUUUUAAAAUUGAUAAAUUAAAAAACUUUAUUGUAUAAAUCAAAUAUAUAAAUUUUUUAAAAAUUUAAUAAAAUUUAAUAUAUUUUUUUAUAUGUAUUUUUUUAACAAUUUUGACAGAAUUUUGAACCCAUUAAAUUUAAAUUAUUAACCACAGUUUUAAUAAUUUUUAAUAAAUUAUUGAUUAAUUAAAAUUUUUUAUUAAAUUAAUCUAUAAAAUUUUCACUAAUUUUAUCAUGAGAAGAAAGAAUAUGCCGGCCGAAGAGAGGUUAGGAUCAUAAACGUCAAAUCAACACGACAGAAUCAAAAACAGUUGAAACUUGAAAACAGUCAAACAUAUUUUUUUUUCUUAAAGUUAAAGUAGACUGAUUACCUGAGCUUUGAAGCAAAAGACGACAAUCCGACGUCAUCACGGGCCACCGGUCGGAGAGGGCUCAGUACCUCCGAACUAAGCACCGACGAUGAAUUCGACUUGGACUUUGCCUUCGAGUUCGACCUUGAGCGUUCCCUGGACAGCCGGAGAUCAUCGUCCGACCCGAAAAUAUCACUGUAGAAUCCUUCCCCUCCUGCUGGAAUCCUAUAUGCAGACAAGCUCCGGCCACCCUUCAUCGAAUGAGACGAACUGAGCUCCAGUGGCCGGAAAACCUCUUCAUAAAAGGAUGCCGACUGGGUGACGUCGCUGGACAACUUCCGGCAUAGCACGCUCCGAGGUGGACCACCGAAGACGUCGGAAAAGUCAUCUAUGUCAAGGUUAUGAUCAACCAUCACCAUGUUGACGUGGUUCAAUGAAAAAAUGGUGUUUUCCACGGAUUUUCGACGUGGGAGAUGUUGGGCAGUUGACAUUCCCAUGCACAUCCACCAAGACUUGUCCAUUUAACUUGGAGAGCAAUUCUAUGGCAAAAGCUUUUAUAAAAAAAAAAAAAAAAAAAAGAGAUGAAGGUAUUUGAGUUCUGGGUUUUACAAACAAGAAAGAUUACUUAAAUAUAUAAAAAGAAAAGUGGCUUUUAGCAAGAAAAAGACGCUUGAAUUAUGGUUAAAGUGGUUUUUAAGAAAGAUGAUUUUGACUAGGAAAGAUGAUGACGAGGGAAUAUAUGGUGGACCGGAGAAUCAUCAAAGUUGACACGUACACACAACUUCUGCUUUACCUGGUAAAGUUUGUUUCUUUUGUUUGUGGUAUUUGAGUCCCACAUUGACAUUAUAUGUUAACUUUUUUCCUUUUUUUUUUUUCUUUUUUUUUUUUUUUUGUUGUGUUGUAACCUUUUGUAUUUUGAUCCAGAAAUAAAGGAGAAGGAAAAGGGUGACUUAAAUUUAUUAGGUAGGUGAGUUUUUUUUUUCUUAAUUUGCUUUUAUAAAAGAAAAAAAUAAAAUAUAUUCUAUGUUUGAGAUUGUUAAAAAUCAAAGUAUGUUCAUUAAAUUUUUUUUAUAAUAAUAUAUGCUUACCGACAUCAAAGAAAUUAAAGCAAACAUAAUAAUAUUUGGACUUUGCAGUUGGAGUCUUGGACUAUUAUUUUCCCUAAUAAAACCAAAUUUGGGGAUGAAGGAUUAUUGAUUGAAGUUGGAGCAUAAUUUAUUAAUAAAAAAAAAAAAAAAACCACAAUUUUUAUUCAAUGUCAAAAGUUAUUUUGUCAAUAUUUGAUUGCCCCAUGUAACGUUAAAAUCAUUGGGAACGAAAUGAUUGGAAGUAAAAGGAAUAAAAUUAAAAAAAAAAUCAUGUCAUUCAAUGCCUUUUUUUUUUAUAAAUUUUUAUAUCUUUCAUAUCUACAGUAUAUUUUUGGUUACCAGCAAUCAUAUCAUAUAUGCAUAUACAGUCAUACCACUAUUUUUGAAAUGAUUGAGAAAACGAUUAUUCUUUGGUCCCAUUUUAAGCAUUUAUCUUAUUUUUAAAAUGUCUCAAAAUGAAGUUAUUUUUUAUUUUAAAACAUUUUAUACUCUUACUUUUUUUAAUUUUUAUAUAAAAAUUGUUUAUCAAUAUUAUAUACAAUUUUAAUUUAUAAUAUUAAAUAUAUAAAAGUAAAUUUUUUUUUAAAUAUGCAUGAAAAUAAAAUAAUGAACAGUUAAGAUGAGAUGGAUGGAGUAUUUUUAUAUGCUUCGUGUGUGUUGAAAAGUUAGAGUAUCAAAUUAAUUAAUAGAGAGAAAGGAAAAAAAAAAAUAAAAAGAGAAAUAGUGGCUGAGAUUUGCCAAUGGUUCUUUGGCUUAGUGGUAAAAAGGAGAAUCUAAAAUUUUAAAAUCUUAGGUUCGAAUCUCAUUGUGUGGGUGUGUUUUUAAUUGUUAAAUUAAGUUAUAAUUUAUUAAUUAAUUAUUUAAUGAUUUAAUAAUUGAUUAUAUGAAUAUAAUACUUAAUUAUAAAUGUAACUUCAAAAAAAAAAAAAAAAUAGUGGUUGAGACUUGAGAGAGUAUUUUCCAUUAUGUAAUAUAAUUAAAAACAAAUUAAUCUUAAUUAAAGAUAUAAUUGAAUAUGGCUAUUUAGAAUCAAAGUUUUAGGCAAAUUCUUAAGUUUAUAUAUAUAUAUAUUCAAAUUACAGUAAUUUCUUCUUGUACAGAUUAAAUCAGACAAUUACUAAUAAUUAUGCAAAAUAGAAUGUUCAAUAAAAAAAUAUAAAUAAAACAAAAUGAUGAACUAAUUAAGAGAGAGGGGGGAUGAUAUCUGCUUUGAUAUCAUUAAAUAUAAAAUUUUUCAUCUUUUACCUAAUGAUAAAGAUUUAGUUUUGUAUAUUUUUACCCAAUGAACAAUGCAAAUCAAGAUGGAAGCUUUAAAAAAUAAAAACAAAAAUCUAGCAAUAAGAAAGUUAUGUCUUGAGUUUUGAAUGAAAAACUUGUAAACUUGUACAAGCAAUAACAUGGUACAUAAUUGAUCAAUUAUAUACACUAAUCCCACCCCAAACUUUUUCUAAAAUUUAAGAACAUUCAUAAUUGAUCUUUUUGUUAGGUUUUCAGCUUCCUCUUGAUGGGGGGAUUAGGGAACCAUCAACCCCCAAAAAAAGAAAGGUGUGAAAAUGGCCCAAAUUAGACCUAAUCAUAUGUAUUGAAGCAAAGGGACCCCAAAACCCUUUCAAAAAAAGUGUGAAAAUGCAGCAAAAUUAAAAUAAAAGGGUUAGCGUUAUGAAUGAUUUUUAAAUUAUAAUGAAAUGUUUAAUGUGAUACUUAAAUUAUAAAUUUAUUAAUUAAUAUAGUACUCUCUAUUAAUGUUACAAAUUUUAAAUGAUAAUAUGUGAUGAACUAACAACUUUUAAAAUAUUAUAUUAAUUGAUAGAUUUAUAAUUCAAAUAAAAUAUCAAAGAUUUUAAACUAUUAGUGACAUUAACCCAACCAAAAUACAUGACAGAGAGAGUUGAUGAGAUCAUUGAGAAGCAAACAAAACCAGUCGAGCAAUGCUAGCUUCAUUAAUCAAUACCAGAUCGUUCAAGUGUCACGUUAUUGAAAUGUACCAUACAUAACUCUUGUUAUCUGACUCCCCCAAAAUGCCAAAUGCAUUUAGACAUUUGCAGUUACCUGGCCCAUUAAUCCAACAAUGACAACACUGGAAAAUCUUUCUCUAACGUGGUAGCGUGCAUGGCAGACGACAGUUUUCAUGGAAAUUAUUUGUAGGUGAGUAGCAAAAUUUUUGACGGACCAAAAAAAAAGUUGUUGAUACUAUGAAUUCGUGGUAGAUAAUGACCCAUUUGGAUGGUUAUCAUUAGACCCUUUUGAUCAUUUCAUCUUUCUUGAAAAUUCGAAUGUUUAACGUUUGUGUAUUAUCAAACAGUUAAGCUUUGUUGAUUUCAAGCAACAACGUCGACCGGAUAUGUUCAUACCAUCUUAAACGAUUAAUUUUUAAUAUUUUUUUUAUAUGAAAGUCUGAGAAUGAGAAAUUUUUUUCUGAUUGAGUAGUAAAAAAAUUUUAAAUUUUGUUUGAUACACAUGAUCUAUUUGCACAGGUUUAUUUAUGUCACAUUAACUGAAUUUUAAAAAAUUAUUUUUCAUAAUCUUCGAACAAAUUCAAAUCCAAACAAUAAAAAGAAGAGCUUCAAAAGAGUUACGUUAGGGGGUUUAUAGUAAUUUUAUGGAGAAAUCAUUUCUCUAAUUAUUGCGUCUAUUUGUGGAAAUGGUUGAAGGUUAAACUAUAUCGCUUGAUGUAGCCUGGAUUAGAUAAAAAAAUGCAAUUAAAUUAAAAUUAUAAGGGUCAGGUGAGGCAAUGGAUGGCUGAUACCACAAUAGCAGACAAUGCAUGCUCUAAGUUGAUCGCAAUCAUAAGCUUUUUGCCUCAAAAACCUCUACUUUCCAACACAAGUCAUCAUCAAUCUUGAAACAAAACAUAAUUAUUAAUCACCACGAAAACACAGUCUGAUGUUGAAGAAAAAAAAAAACAAGGGUAAAAUGAAUAACCCCAUAAAAUGAUGAUACCAAUAUGAAUGUCUUAAUCUAUAGAAUAAUCCAAUUUACUCACCAACAAUACACCGAUUUGAUUUCAAUAUUGUGCUGGUGUUUUCCUGAACGUGUUGCCAAAUGGAGAAAAAAGAGAAGGUGAAAGUGGGAUAUGUUAGUAAUCAUAGCUAGAGAAAAACAAAUCAAUCGAUUUCUUUAAAUAAUGUACCAAAAUUUCAGUAAUCAAACAAACAGAAACCCCGAAAGAAAUGAGCAAAGAUGAAUAAAAUCUGUUUGAGUAGUUCAAGCUUAUUGGAUUCCAGGAACAGUAGUUGUUUCUGCUUCUAACAGCUUUCACCAUGAUUUUAAAUUGUUGAUCAGCAAAAGAAAGAUGAUAGAAUUUACCUGAUCAACUAGAAAACCCAGAGAUUUAAUAUGCUUGUCUCUAAUUUUUUCCAUAGCCAGCUGAGCUUGUGUUUCCAGGUUAUUAUGUUUGAAAUAAAUGGUUUCAUUAUAGUGAUACUGCGGUAUUAAUUUGGUUUUACAUCAAAUAAUGUUUGAAAUUAUUUGUGGGAAAAACAAAGAAAAAUAGUUAAAAACUUGAUGCUCCAAUUUUACUUAAAGAUAUUUUAAAAAUCUAUUAUGAUAUAUAAAUAAAUGUUUAAAUUCAAAUUUGUAAAGUAUAUAUUAUGAAAUAAAAUCGUUAAAAUUUUAAAUCAAAACAGAUAAAACCUCUUAAAUUAAAUAUAAAUUUUCACUUAAACAAAAAUCAAAUGUCAAAAUCUGAGCUCGUAGAAGAAAAGACCAUGUCUGAUGACCAACAUCUUUUUCUGCUCCCAAGAGGGACGAUAAAAAAAUUGGUUAAUUUUAAAUGUUUUCAAUAAAACAUUUAAGAUUAUUAAAAUUAAAAUUUUAAUAUUUUCUUAAUAACUCAUAUGAUUGUCAGCAACACUUUACAUUUUUUAGUUAUUAGUUUGGUGAGAAUCACACCAGUUGGGUCCCAAACAAAUUCUAAAUAAGAAAAUGAACAUUUUGAAUGUAAUUUUAUAAUUAAUUUUUUAUUUUUAAUAUAUUUUAAUAAAUAUAUCAUUUUAUUAAUUUUAUUUAUGAAAUUUAAAAAAUUAUUGUCAAUAUAUUUGAUAACUUUGUAAAUAUAAUAUUUUAAUUUAAUGUAACGAAGAUAUUUGCAAAUAAAAAAAACAGUUGCAAAAUUUUCCAAAGCAAGUAGAAACAUAGAUAUGGACCUUGUUUAAGGUUGAUACAGGAUGAUGAGGUUGAUACCCAAACAACUGUUGUAAAUUAGCACGUGAAGAUGCUACAAUGACAAAAUGUACAUACAUAUAAUGGCAAAUUAGCAAUAAGAGAAAAAAAAAUAGUCGGGAAAAUGUACUAAUCUAAACAGGACACUCAGGCCCAGCUAACAGGGUAAAGGAAUCUAAAUAUAACAAGGGAAAUAUGCGGGGACCUCAAAGGAAUCUAGACAUGGUUUGGUUCAUUGUAAACUUCCCAAUAUAUGAUCUAAGCAGCCUGUUGCAAAUAAAUAGGAUUGAUGAUGAAUGAAAUUAUAGGGAUGGGGUUGGUUUGUCCUUGAAAAAGAUGAGGGAGAAAAGGGUAUUUCAGAUCUUUCUGGAUCCAGGGACUAUGAUUUUUAUCCCAAAGAUCAGGUCUUCCGUUAGAUUCACGUCAAACUUGCAAUAAUAGUAUGAAAAUUUUAUGAUUUUAUUUUAUAAAAAUAUUUUUUAAAUUUAAAUUUAAAUCUUAAUUUAUAUAUCUUAGUAGAUUUUCGUUAAUACACUAAAAAGAAAAUAAACAGUAAAGUUUUUGGCGGAUGGAUGGGUCGGCCAUGAAGCAGGCAUGUUUCACAUGGGGCGUUUUCGACAUAAGAUACCCCUUUCAUUAUUUAUCCAAUCAAAUUGAUAAAGCAAGUGCGAGUCAAAGCCCCGUCAUUUUCUUGAACCAAGGUUCCUCCACCUUUUUUAUUUCUGCCUUUCAUCUUUCCAGAUUAUUUGGCUCCUUUCACCAAGGAGAUGCCUUCAUUGAGUAGUUGCAAACGACGAAGUGCUAUAUGUUAGAAUCAUAAUAUGAUUAACUUUAUUUGCAUCAACUAAUAAUGUACCAGUGACAGGUAAAGAGUGGAACAAUAUGAGUUUCCUUAAAACCAAAUCCUCUGCAAUCUCUGAAAUAUUGUUGGCCAGUUGUAACGCUGAUGAAUCCCUCGUGAGAAGCUUGAGUACUUCUCACAACGAAAUCUAGGAGGGACCAGAUCUUGUGGUCACAAAUUUAACUGAUUCACAUUCGUCUCUGAGCUGAUCCAGCAGGAAUUUCAUGAACUUCCGAAAAUCAAGACGCUUCACUGAUUUUCCAGAGUGAUUCCGUGGUCAUUUCAGAUAUAUUAUGACCACUUGGCUCUAUCUGCACCAAACCUGCUUUACUCAGUUUUAUUCUUGGAUAAAACUGAACCUGAAUUUCAAGCAUUUUUUUUUCAGCUCCUGCAUGUGCUUUCAAAGUGAACUUGCUAUAAAUGGUUCAUAUCAGUGUGUUUGACACUUCUCAUCAUUUCUGUGAUAUGAUACAUUAAGUUUGUUACGCCCAAAUUAUCUGAUCAACAGUUAAUCUAAUUAAGGUUUGGUUAAUACAGUUAUAUCUUUGGAUCGCUUAGAUAAUAUACACUUAAAACAUCAUAUCAUCUGCUCUUAAAAAAAUAACUUGUUUUUUGUCAAAAGAAUAACUCAUUUAAUAUUUUUCGACAUUUUGUCAAAACAAUUAUUUUGAAACUAAUUGUUUGACAUUCAAUUUAUCUAAAAUUAUUAAAUGCAAUUCAUAUUUAUUUGAAAACAUUAAAUGUGAUUGACAUCUAUUCACACGGACCUUUCUCAAAUUUCGCGUAUCUAUCCCAUCAACUAUCAAUUAUCAAUUGUCAAUCACUUUACUCUUUAUCACUGACCCUCAUCUCAUACAUAAAAUGAUAAAGAAACACAAGUAGAUAGGACAUUUGCAUACUUCAUACCUUACUCUAUCUUCUUUGAAGCUUUCCACACACACACCUCAUCAUUUUCUUCUUCACCUCACCAUUUUCUUAUUCUUCCUCGCCUUUCCUUAUUCGAAAUACUUCACUGACUUUAGCAUUAGAGUGAACCCAAAAAUAACAACUUUAAUGUCCUUUAACCGUGUUUUUUAGCCACAGGCUCAAGGUAUCUUCCCCUCAACCUUGUCUUAUUCUUUUUAAGCUUAGACUCCUAAAAACACCAUAACAAAGUUUAAAUUGAGCAGCUCUAAUUUAGACAUCAUAGGAUGUACAUGUAUCCAACUUCAUUACCAGCUCUUAAAAUGAAAUAUUAAUCUUGACUCAUAAAAAUUCUAAAGCUUUAAUGUAAGAAAUUGGUCAAACAAGGAUUAAAAUAUAGGAAGCUGUUACCAUACACUUAAAACCCAGCCCAAUGCACCCCCUGCCCAAUGAAGAGGAAGAAGAAGAAGAAGUAAAGUUUGGGACUAGCAUUUUCAAGCCAUUGAACUUCAAAGAGAAAGCUCCCUCAGCAAUACAAUUUGAAAUAUGGCAUCAGAACCAUACAUACAACUUUGGGUAUGCUUUAAGCCCAUUAAAGUUUCUUUUCGGCCUAAUAUCAAAACCCAUUAAAAUUUAGUAACAAAAGAAAAUGCCCAUAAAUAGUUUCGUGGAUGUUAAGAAAAAGAAAUAAUUUUAUCAUUUUUUUUUUGUUUAAAAAUUCUUAUCUAGUUUUUCCCCUCUCUUCCCAAGGAGUCCUUAGAGAUUAAAAGCUGAAAUCAAAUUUUCAAGAAGUUUGAAUUUUCAAUCUUCUUAUCAAAUUUUUUUUUAAAAAAAUUAUUUGAUUUUGUUUCAAGAUAAUAAUUAGAAAAUAAUAAAAUUUCUGUAUUUUUCUCGUUAUUUUUAAUAAAAAAAAUUUUCGUUAAUCAUAUUUCACAUAAACUUUUGUUAUGAAAGUUUCUUAAAAUUGCAUGAAGAAAAAAUAUAUUUGCUAUCGUAAAUUUUUGUAAGAGUAGAGGAAAAAAAAAGUAUCUGAAUAAGUGCCACGUGGCAAUAGUGCAAAGUCCUGACCCGUUACUAUUCGCGGGCGAGAUCUUCCCUAUAAAUGCCAUCCACCUUUCGUAAAAUUCCCUCCCGGUACCCUUAACGCUUUCUCUCUGCCCCUACCCUCCUCUCUCUGUAUCUCAAACUCAGAUUUCCAAAACAAAAAAUGAAGAACCAAAAUUCGCUUCAAAAUGGAAAUAAUGUUGAUGGUAAUUUAUUAGCCGCCGACAAUCGUGAUCGUGAUGGUGAUGGAUCGGCUCUGAUCUUCCUGGGAACCGGCUGCUCCAGUGCCGUCCCCAACGCAAUGUGCUUGAUCCAGCCCUCCGAUCCUCCCUGCCACGUAUGCUCCCAAUCCCUCUCUAUAUCUCCCGAGCAUAACCCUAAUUACAGGUCACCUCCUUUUCCCUUCUUUUUCUAAAAUUUAAUCGUGCAUACAAAUUUUUUUUAUAUCGCAGAUCUGAACUUUUCCGUGCAUUUUUUUUUUUGCACAAUGUGAUUAUUUUCGGUUUUGUUUCUUAAAAAAUUAGGUUUUUUUUAGCUUUGAUUUUGAAUCUUUUUCUUUCAGGUGCAAUACAUCUUUGCUUAUAGAUUACUGUUCGAGCAAUGGUAUGCACAAUUAUAUUAUAAUUGAUGUUGGGAAGACAUUUAGGGAGCAAGUUCUUCGAUGGUUUACUUUCCACAAGAUUCCUCGAAUCGAUUCGGUGAGUUUAAUUUUUUUUCCACAUUUAUUCCUCAUAAUUCUUUUUUUUUUUUUUUUUUUGGUAUUGUAGUAUCUUAUUAGAACAGUUAACAUUUAUAUUUGGUUUUAUCUGUUCUAUUAUUUUAUAGGAUUUAUAGCGAGUUUGUUGAUUUAUAUAAUGGCUUUGUGCAUUUUAUUAACUAUAAUCUCGUCUUUCUGUAUACGAGUGGAAUUGCAACUAGUACUAAUUUCUGUAUGAACUGCAGAUUAUUUUGACUCAUGAACAUGCUGAUGCAGUUCUUGGUCUGGAUGAUAUACGUGCUGUGCAGCCACAUAGUCCUACAAACGAUAUUGAUCCCACUGCCAUUUACCUAACUCAAUAUGCGAUGGAUAGGUAUAAUAUGAAUUUUUUAUUCUUGGGGUCAUUGUGCGUAUUGUUUUUGUAGCCUACAGAUUGCUAGUUAUGCUGAUACAUUAUCAAGUCACAUGUCAUUCAGAUAUUUUUAUAAUGUGAGAGGUUAUUUGCUUUAACAUGCUUUAAGUAGCCUAGUCAAAAGUUUGGUUUCAGAUAAUAGAAUUGAAGCUUAUUUCCCAAACAAGUUGUAGCAGAAGGAUGUGUUGCGGUUUUAUGCUGUCUCUAGCAACCUUGGCUGAUGUUUAUUUUGUUUGUCCCUGAACAGCAUUGCCACAAAAUUUCCAUACUUGGUUCAGAAGAAACUUAGAGAAGGCCAAGAAGUAAGACGGGUGGCACAGCUUGACUGGAAGAUAAUUGAGGAGCAUUAUGACAAACCAUUUGUUGCAUCAGGACUAAAAUUCAUUCCUUUGCCAGUUAGUGUGCUGUCUCUUAAGAUAAUAUACCAUCUCUGCCAUAUAAUUUAUGCCUAAGUGCUUAAUCAUACUUUUGAUUCAGGUGAUGCAUGGAGAAGAUUAUAUCUGUUUAGGUUUUCUUUUUGGUGAAAAUUGUAAAGUGGCUUAUAUUUCUGAUAUCUCACGUUUUCCUUCAAACACAGAAUACGGUAGGUGCUGCUUUUGCUCCUUUUCUUGUAGGCACACAUGCAUUUUCACCUUUUACACAUAUUUUCAUUUUAUCGGUGAUGUUAAAUGUGGAGAGGAGACUUCUAUCUACUUCAUGUCAUCUUGAGGAGCUUGUCAAUGUUAGCAUUUUAGGAAUAUAUAUUUAUUGGAUUUUCCUUGUGUUAACAAUUGAAGGAAAUAUAUCUAUUGCUAUAAAGGUUGCUUCACUGCUCAAUAGGGAUGUCAAUCUUACCCAUACCUAAUGGGGAAUUCGGCUUUUUAUCCUAAUAGGGAUGGAGAUGGGUUAUGAGUAUAGGGAUGGGGAUGGGUAUGAUUUUAAAUUUUUAUUGGGUUCGGGCUCAUACCCAUGCCCUACAUAUAUUUUUUUAUAUAUUUAGUAAAUAGAUUUUUUAUUAAAUAAUAUAAAUUAUUAUUUUAGAUUAAUUAAAAUUAGUAUAUUUUUAUUGAAAAAAUAUAUAUUAAUAUAUAUAUUUAUAAAAAAAAUUACCUAAAUAUACAAGAUAAAAAUAAAAAAGCUAAAAAAAAUAAAUUUUAGUUUUUAUUUUUUUUAAAAAAGCUACGGAUAUAUGGAUUAUCCAUAUCUAUUAAAUAUCCACGGGAUGGGGAUGGGGAUAGAUUUGAAAUAUCCAUUGGGUAUGGGUAUGGGUAUGGGGAUGAGUAUAAUAUAAAAAUCCGGGGAUGGGGAUGGGGAAUGCUCUACCCUCCCCAUACCCCACCCAUUGACAUCCCUACUCCUCAAUGGAUCCUUCAAGCAGUUUUAAUCCUCGAAUCAUUUUUGUAUUACUCAAACAGAUUAUAGGUCUUAAACUUAGUGAGAGAGCUGUCCUGCACAGGUCAUAAACUAAGAAACUUCUCUAUGACUUGAUUCAAAUUGCAAAAGAUAAGAUGCUUAUGGAUCAUCCCUUUACAAUGUUUACUCUGAUCUCUUGAUGUUGAGUGGGACUUGGUGUAAAGAAUACACAUGUUCUCUCACUUCUAAGUUUUUGGUGUUCCAAGUCUUGUUUUUCUGAAUGAUUUGUCUGUGAAUUGAGUUUUCUUGAUGUUAAAAUAAAUUAUGUAAUGAAUUGUGUUUGAUCAGAAUAUUGGGUUUACAGUUAUUUCCAAAAAUGGUGCUGGACAAUUGGAUCUUCUGAUAUUAGAUUGUUUAUACAAGGUGUGUUACUGCCUUGGUUCUUUCAUUUUUAUACUGUUGACUACCUGCUUUCAUUUUUUGUUGGUGAAUUGUCUAGAACUGCUAUAAGUAGAGAAAUCAAAAGACUGAAUUUGAUCCUUGUUGAUUCUUCCAUAACGUAUAUCUGUAUAUAUUUGUGUGCUGCUGUUCGUCUUAUGUUCUUACAUCCUAGUUUGGUACCAUAGAUGAUUAUUUAAUAUAGUUGACAGGGCAAAGUAAUGUGGGAUUUACAUCCUAGUUCGGUACCAUAGAUGAUUAUUUAACACAGUUUACUCUAGUGCAUUUGAAGUGUAAAUUUCUCUGCUUAGUCUGAUCAUGGUUGGGCCACAGAUUUCUUACUAAAAUUCAUUUGAUGAACUUGUACACUGCAGUUGUACAUUAAUACUCCUUUCUGUUAUUUAUUUCGUAUUUAAUGAUUUAUGAUUGUCCUUUCAAUAAUGAUAUGCUUGCUAUAUCCUCUAAUCAGAACUAAUGUUUUUUCUGUUUUCCGCAUGGUAGAAAGGAUCCCAUAACGUUCAUUUAUGCUUACCACAGGUUUGUUCUAAAUUUUCCAAUAAUUUUUCUUCAUGUUAGUAUUUUGAUCGUCACAAGGUGCUCAUUUUCCAUCCACUUAUUUUUGCAGACUCUUGAGGCUCUAAAGAGGAUAUAUCCAAAACAAGCUCUAUUAAUUGGAAUGACUCAUGAGUUUGAUCACCACAAGGACAAUGAGUUUCUUAUGGAAUGGUCUGAGAGGUAAACUGAUUUCCAAAUUACUUCACAAAUUUUAUGGUAUAGUUUACCCGAAUUUCUCAGAAAGUAUCAAUAAAAUAAAAGAAACUGAUAUCAGAUGUUAUUCUUCUUAUCUGUAUGUAGGGAAGGAAUCCAUGUGCAACUAGCACGCGACGGUCUGAGGGUCCCCAUAGACCUAUAAUGAGGUGAGGCAUGUCUUUAGAAAGUUGUUUUGAUGCCAGGUGAGAAUAUCCUGCACACUGUCUAAUUUAUUUUUUCUUCUCUCUCUUGUUCUUAAGAGGAAACCAUAUUCCUCACUUGUCAGAUUUCUUGUGAGUGUUUCAUGAAUGCUAUAGUUAGCAAAUCAACGGAUACAAUAAGGUGUCCAGAUUCAUAUCUUAUUUUAACAAAAUAAAACUGAAAACAUAAGCAUAUGACACCUACAACCAGCAUUUUCCUGUGUGAAUGCUAGUAAACUUGAUAACCAACUAUGAAGGCAAUCAAUUAAGCUCUUUGCUUGUACUUCGAUCACAUUACAUGCUUAAGUCCUACAAAAGAAAAAGGAAAACGUUAACAAAAUACCUUUUUCUCUUGUUUACGCAGGUUUAUACAUGGGCCACGGAAACAUUCAUACUUUUCCAUCCCAUUGGAUUGGGAGAAGAGCAAUUAUAUUCUGUUAAUUAUUUAUAGCUUCAGUAGAUCUGGGGUUUAGGGUUUAUAAUAUGGUAAACAAUGUGAACAACGAGAAAAGUGCAAGCAGAGAGGAUUCCUGAUGUUACCGCUUGAUCGUUAAACUUGUUCCAAGUUCUACUACCCUUUCUUCUUUGUAACAUUGUUUUUUAAAAUAAUUUUAUUCAAUCAUUACCCACCCUUUAUAUGGUUGGUGGACCGGAAGCGUAGAUUCAUCCCCGCGUUUUCCAACAUUUGCAUUGGAAUUAAGGAACCGAUGUAGUUCCUCGAAAAGAUUUAAAUAAUUGGUACGUGUCCAUGCAGGAAUAAUUAAAAAAUAAUUAUUAUUUCAUUAUUAAAAAAACUCAACGAGAUUCAAUUUCAACAUGCCUUCCAUAAUUUUAUUGUAAGGUUCCUUAUUUUCUGCACCAUUCACUUUUCAAAGGAAUUUUUUAGUUUUAAACCCUAAAAAAUUAUCGAUUUCAUUGCUUCGUUCGAUCGACCAAUCUACAUGAUCGAUGUUUGUUUUACAAAAAAUGAUUUUUAAAAAAUAAUUUUUGUAUUUUUAGAUGUUUAUUUAAUAGAAAAUUGAUUAAUUAAUAAAAAGUGACUUAUUAAUCAAUGAAAAAUAAGAUACUUUUUAAAAGGUUAUCUUACAGAUUUGGAAAAAAAAAAUUUCGAAAAAGAGUUGUCUGAGUAUAAUUAUUUAUUAAUACUUUUGAGUAUAAUUUUAUUUAUAAAUAAUAUUAUAAUAAUAAAUAUUAUUAUAUUAUUAUAUAUUGAUAUAUUAAUAAAUAAUAUAAUUAUAAAUAUUAUUGAUUUAAUUAAUAAAUAUUAUAAUAAUAUAUGAAUAAAUAAUAAACUAUUAAUAUAAUAUAUUAAUAAAUAUUAUUAAUAAAUAAUAUAAAGAAUAAUAAAUAGUUUUAUUUUAGAUAUUUUUUAUAUUAACAAACAUUUUAAUAUUAUAUUAUUAAAAUAUAAUUGUUUUCAUAUUAAUAAUUUUAAUAUAUUUUAAUAAUAAGUAAUUUUUAACAUUUUAAUAAUUAUAUCAAUAUUAUUUUUAAAAAAUAUAAAAUUUUCAAAAAAUAACCAAAUAACAAAAAAUAUUUUUCAUUUAUUCAUUCAAACAAUAAAAAAUUUAUUUCAAUUUAAAAAUUAUAAAUAUUUUUUGAAAAUUAUUUUACAAAAAUUAUUUUCUGUAGAACAACCAAACCUAAGAUUAAACUGAAACCUGAAAUUCUUUCUUUUUUUUCUUUCUUUCAAUGCAACAUAGAGCUGUGUUCAAACUUCUAAUAUAUAGACCAUUAUCAUACAAUUACAAUUAAAUAAUCAAAACCAAUAUGAAAAUAACAAAGUCCAACAUCCAAAUUACAAAAAAAAAAAAAAAAAAAACCUCUUCAGUUGAAUGAUCAAUUUGCAAAACAUUAGUUUUAGUUGUGAUAUAGAGAUUUUGUUUUAAAAAAAUAAAGUGUGGAAAGAGUCAAAACAGGAGACUAUUAGCUAGUCUUUUCUCAGGGCUUUAAAAUCAUUUUUUCAGUUUUCCUCGCAAGUAGGCAAGGUAGACCAGGCAAGCUCCCAUGACUAAUUGAAUUUCUUCUUUCUUUCUUCCAACCCCUCAACUACGCCACCAAACCGAAGUUUCCAGUUCCCAUUUCCCUUUCAUAUUUUUUUUUUACCUUUAAUCAGUUCAUUUCAAGAUAUAAAGAAGAAAGAAAGGUAAGAGAAAAAAAAAAAAUAAUCUCAGGAGAUAGUAAAAAGGGGGAAAAAAAAGGGUUAUGGCUUGCUUUGUUCCUUUCAAUAACAGAAAUUUGGAUGUAACCCUUUUUGUGUUUAAGCCAACGGUUGUACUUGUUGAUGAACUUGUUGAGUCACUGAAACAGUUCUGUGUAUGCACUGAAACUCUUGGUUGUGUUCAAAGUUCUAUAUUCAAGAGCAUCCAUGGUAAUCUGGUAAGCUAAAAGCCAACAACUUAUUUUUAUAUGUCCUGUUUUUUUCUCCAUGAUCUUCCUUUCAAUACCAUACCUUAUUCCAUUUUGAAGAUUUUUCAACUGCCUUGUUUUCUCUUUAGAUCAUAUGGUAUGGAGGAUGGAUGAAGAAAUCUUCCGAAAACAAAGAACUUUUGACUACAACCCUUGUAAGUUGGAUUGCUCCUCCUGGAACUGUUGUAUCUGUUGCAAUAUUGCUUCUUGAUUGAUUAAUCUAAAACACUUUUGAAACUAUCAUUAAUGCAAUCCUUUCAAGAAGGGAAUUGUGUAAAACCAAUAUGAACAUAAACUCUGGUAGCGUCCCAAACCAUAUUAAAAUCAUAGCAGGCCUCAAGUAGAAUCCAGAUUUUUUUUCUUUUUUGGUUAUCCUAAGGAAGUAACAUGAGAAACAAAUUUGUUGAAUGAUUGAAAUUCAUUGCAAAAUAUUUCCUAUCAAAUGUCCUAGGCUCUCUUUCUUGGUCAGGAUGGAAAUUAGAUUUACCAGAAAUGAUUUCAACAAUGCCAUUAGGUUUGGUCCAAAGGAAAAAGAAAAAGCUUUGGAAUUGAAUCAUAUAUCUGUUGGGCUUUCCAUACUAAUUAUUGGCAGUCAUUAGAGGGUUUCUUUUUUGUAAGCUGUGUAAAAAGUAUCUGGCUUGACCAACAAUAUUGAAUAGAAUGAAUAUUAUGAAAGAACUAUAAUUAGCUACUAAAACUUUAUUUUACUGCUCAGUGUGAUAAAUUUGUUUUUGGACUAUUGAUCAGGAUUGAGAUUCUGUAAUUUUUAAUCAAGCCACCCUUAUCCGUUUUCUCCAGCUAUCAAUGUUAACAAGCAUGUCAAGCAUGGCUGUUUUAACUGAACAUAGCUUCUUUGAUGCAUACGCUGGAGAAUCAAAAGAUGGCUCCAAUGCUGCCAAGUUCUCCACAGGUGACAUAGUCUCCAUGAAUCUGAUUACAUCUUCUUCCAGUGACCUAAACGAUGUCUCCUACGCGAACUUAGCCCUAUUCAGGUCUCGUUUCUUGAAGAUGGAAGGGGCCACAGCAGGAGUUUGCUUGAAAUGCCAAAGCAUGCCAAGGGUAGCAUGCCUUUACGUAUGGAAAUCUCUUCUACUAUGUUAUUCAUGGAUCCUUACCUCGGAUUACAGGAAGACAAUGCUGCCCUACCUUGAUCGUUUUUCCCUCAGUAUUAAGUAUGACAUCUUCUGGGUUGUCUAUGUUAGCAGUGAAAAUGUACAGAACUAUCAGAUUCCCCCUCAGCAUCAUGUUCUAGAAAAUGGAGAAGAAACCAGGAAUGAAGGACGGAUCAUAUGAGAUUAAAGAAGAAUGUUUCUUGACAAUUUUGCAUAUAUAGAUUUUGUUGUGAUGCAAAUAAUUUGUUGCAUAUGCUGCCAUAAGUAGUAUAAUCAAGGGAUUCAGUUAAGCUAUUUUUAGUUAGAGCCCAUGUACAUACCAAUUUGAAUUCUUUGAUGAAAUUGAAAUUUAACAUGAAAUACUAUUGAACGAAAACUGCAGCCUGAGAUUCAAUGGACUUUUAUGUCUGGUAGAUGUAUAAAAAUAAGAAGGCCCCCUUCUCAUUAUCAUUCUUUUCUUGAGGGAAAAGGAACCUAAAAAGAAGUGAAAAGGGUAAUGGUCACAAGUUUCUUGCCUUUGCCGUUGAGCCAGUCAGAGGUACCAAGCGCUUGGAAUUAGAAUAACAAACAACUUUUGGUGAAAAUUUUGAAAGGUGGAAGUGGAAUUUGUUAGCUUCAUCUGGCCUGAUGGAUUAGAAAAAAGCACCAAGUCAAACAUGGGCUUCACCCAACUUCGGAGCUUCGGCGCCUUGUUCUAAGCUCAACCCCAAGCCUAUCAAAGCAAAAACUUGGGCUGUUCUACCUAGAUUUACACAUCUUUACAUUGGAUUCUUACUGACAUUUGUGUCAUAUUUUAUAUAAUAUUUGUAUUAUAAUUUGUAUAGACAUAAAAAAUAAAAAAUAUUUUUUUAUUUUUAUUAAAUUUAUAUAUAAUUUUUGUUAAAAUUUUAAUUCCUAUCACAUUUGUGUUUUUUUUGUCUACCAGGUCUACUUACGGUAAUAAACCCCUUUUAGCAGCCUAUUUUGCAGUUAUGUUCCUGAUAUUCCCUAGCUUUAGUGUAUUUUUAAGUUGUCUUUCCUGUGAAUCCUGUCUUUCUAUUUUUUUAUUGCUUACCAAAAAAUGAAAAACAGGAUUAGUUAAUAAGAAUUUAAUUCUUGGGGCUUUGAAGGUGUUAAUCUUCUGAGGCCAACAAUGUGAAAAAGUAUAUGUAGCAAGGCAGUCCCACUCUGCAGCUUUCAGGGGAAUCACCUGAUCGAGCUUGUCACCCUCAAGUCUACCAUGAAUGAAUUAUUUCAGGUUAUGUACGAAAAAGCUUCCCUUUAUUCGGUAAGAUUUUGUUUUCCUCUUAUGGAUACAAUAUACAAUACUAUGACCUAAAACUCUUCCUUAUUGAACAAAGUUAUCAAGCCUUUAUGAUUAACCAUCUUCACUUUGAAUCUUUGAUAUGAUAUCCAUAUUUUGGCAGGAAAAAUCAAUAAUAAUUGCUAUAGUCUUCAAACUAACAGUAAUUAAGAAAUGGUUAUUGUUGCUAAUCAUAGAAAUUGGAUGCUCAAACUACCAAGAAUUUAAGGGUGUACAUAGAAAUUGGAUAUAAAUAAAUUUUGUUAAGUUCGUGUCCUGAAAUAUUAUUCGUGAUUGGUUGUUAAGUUUAAUAAAUGAUUACAAAUGAAUAGAAAUAGAGCUUAUUCAACAAACUAUUCAUUGAAUUCUUUAUUCUUUUAUAUCAUUUAAACAAAUUAAACUUGAAUGAAUUAUGUUAUGUAUUUAAUUAACGAACCUUAAAAUAUUAUCUGUAAUCAUUUAUUAAAUUUAAUAAAUAAACAAAAAUCGAAUAUAUUUACAAAUUAUUCAUCGAAGGUUUUAUUGUUUACUCUAGAUUCUAAUUCAAUUAGUUGGAAAUGAAUGUAUUUAAUUAACGAACUUUAAAAUAUUAUUCGUAAUCGUUUAUUAAAUUUAAUAAACAAAUAAAAACUGAAUAUAUUCAUAAAUUCUUCAACAAGUUGACUUACUCUCGAAUUGAUUCCAAUUCAAUUAAUUCGUAAAAGUCUAAAAGAUUGUUUAUGGUCAUGAAUUCUUGAGUGGGAGAAAAAUAUAGUAAUUAGAAACCACUGCUUUUAGCUAAAGAAUACGAGAUUUCAAUCAGGAAAAUGAACCAAAUUUAAGAACCAAAGAAGGAAUAGAAUCUGCAUUUUUCUCCUUUUUUCACAAAGUUAUAAUGUGCACGUUAAGUUAGAUGGUAGGCAGGCAAAUUAAUCAUCACUUCAACCCCUCAACCAACAUGAUGAUAUGAAGUUGGCUAUCUCCAUUUAUUUAAACUAGCUUGAACUAGGUUUUGGGAUCAACACUAGAAAAGCUAAUAUCAAUUAACUUUUGAACCACUUUUACCCUCCCCUGUCAGGUUUCCUGAAGGAGCAACAUCAAUUGCCAAGCUUUUGAAGGCAAUCAAAAAUCUUUGGUAGGUGAGAUUUCUAUAAUUCUAUAUCCUCAAACAAGUACAUGACCUGCCAAUAACUUGCAUGACCCACAUAAAACGGUAAUUGAGAAUUUUGAAUUAUUAAACCUUCAACAAGUUUUUAUAUGCAUCUUUAUUCAAGUCAUUCCUUCCAAAAUGUCCUAUUCAUGAUUGAUCUUAAAGCUACACAAACAUAAAUUAAUGUCUGAAACAUUAGAACAAAGAAGAACAUUCAAAGAUUGGAGAAAGUUGGUAAACUAUAAGGGACCCAUGUGAGAAAGAUGAAAGAUUAUCCUGCCCAUUUCAGUGAACAAGUCCAACUUGGUAUUCCCUCCAUUGUCAUGCCCCACAUUCAAUGGAAUUUCCACAGCAAAAUCAAGUUUAAGUAAGAGCUGUUGUUUUCUAUACAGGCACAUGUAAGGCUAAGUCUAUAGGCCAUGUCUGGACUCUGGUUGGUCUAAAAUUUCUCCAGUUAGUUUGAGAAAGUUUGAAAAAAGUUUGGAUACCUUUUUAUGAUUGAAAUAAGAGGGAAUACGGACAAUGUUCUUUUUGAUCAUGCCAUGAAUGAAUAUUUGGAUGGUCCUACCAAAAUAAAUUCUAAAAUACAUUGAAUCACAGGUUUGGCCAACAUUUUUCAGCCAUUUUUCGAAUUGGCGAACCAGAUUUACCUUCAUUCAAAUAACCGCAGCCGACCUUGAAUUUUUGGUAGAGUCACUCUCAUAAAGUCAAAAAAAUGACAUUUUAUAAGAGCACAAUUACAGGCCAAUCUCAAGCCGUAUGCAAUGGCUAAUGUAUACUUAUUAUGCUACUAAUUAAGUUGUGGGGUACGAUCCCAUGUUGCCAAUGAACCCCACAAGCUAAUUUCCACAAAUUAGGAAUCUUGAAAAAAAAAUUGAUGAUCCAAAGUUUUGAACUUAGGCACAUCAAAACAAUUUUGUUUGAAAUUAAAUGAUUAUAAAGUUAUGUGCAUGAGAUUCAUACGCGUUUUCUAACAAUUUUAUGAAUAAAUCUAAAUAAUCCAUUCAUGACCAAAAUUGAAUAAUUAUAAAUUACAGUAAUAAUUGAUAUCAACUUCAGUAAAAACACAUAUGAAUUAGUUUAAUUGAUAAAAAGAAGUUCAUUUUCUUUUCAAUCAAGAUUUAACAUGAUAUGGGGAAUUACCUUAAAAUUUUUGGAAGAAUAAAUUCGAAAAAUACCUAAAAUAUCUUUAUUGUAUUACCAAAAAAAAAUGCAAGUGUGUUAAGAACCAUGCUUCUUGCCAUGUGGAUAACAUGGUAAAUGAAGAAUGCAAGACAAGUCACCCUGUUCACUCUUAUACACAUCAAAGGGCGGCCACGGCCAGCCGAAGUGGGGCCAGGCCCCGAUCAACGAUUGCCCUAAAAUACAAAAGGACGUGGACCAUUGACAACGGGGAACAUCACAUGUGAAUAGAUCUCCAAACCCACAGUCCCACAGUUCCACACGCACAUUAUUAUUGUAUAAAGAAUGUUUUUGGACACCAUCAUCUGAGGCAAAUUCUCCCUAGAAAAUUAUAGCUGAUAAAGAAAGGAUUACUCGUGAUGUGUAAAUCAGAUAAUUUGUGUAUGUAUUUAUUUUAUAUUUUAUAUAAAAAUUACAUGUUAUAAUUCGUAUUAAUACGAAAAUAUAAAAUAUAUAUUUUAAAUUUAUCAAAUUUAUAUAUAAUUUUUAAUAAAACAUUAAAUUAUAUUAAAAUUUUUUAUAUUAUAUUAUAAUAUUAUAUUUUUAAUUAUCAAAGUUUAAUGCUUUAGUAGAGAGCUUGAGAUCCCAUCCAUCAUAAAAAUUAUCAUAAGUAGGGUAGGGGACCCUUCAUCUUUUAUCCUGGGGCAUUGAGCUACUACAAAACUAUACCUAGUGGAUACGUAAUUAGUUUUUUAGUUAGGGAAAUGUUGUUGAGUUUAGUGCCCUUAAUUCUUAAAUACAUAUAAAAAAACCUUGGAACCCUAGAAGGUAUUUUCUUCCAACAAUGGCGUUAGGACUUAGGAUUAUUAUUUUUGUUGUCUUCGUCGCUAAGUCAGUAGUUAAGAUUGCUAAAUCAACGACAAUCUUAAUUAACCUAAUGCUUAGCUGACAAUAAACAUAUAAGUUGAUCACAUUAACACAUAUAAAAUAAAAAGAUAAAUUCGUACUAAACAGGUAAAAUUUUUUUAGUUCAUUUUUUUUUCUUUUUCUAUUGCCAUCUUUCCCAUUGUAUUGAUUUGUAUUGAUUUGAGUAUUAAAACGUAUUCAAAAAUAUUAUUUUUAUAACCGCUAAUCAUUUUUCUUGUUACAUAUCACACAUACCUUGUAAAUCAAUCCUCCCAUUCCACCUCUACCGAGACCCUAAUUACCAAUUGAAAAACACAUUAAUAAUUUUCUUUUUAAAUUAUGCAUUGGAUUUUGUAACCUAAAAACUGUUGGUAGAGAGAAAGAAACCCUAAUCUUUUUUCAUUGGUUAGGUCUAAUAUGCUAAAAUAUCAUUUGAUAAAGAUAAAUUUUAAUUUCGUUCCAUAACUGCGUUGAUGUAAUCAGCAAAGUUGUGACAGUUCAAUGAUGAAGUCUCUGAAUUUUAUUCAGCACAUGUCUCAAGAUCAUUAAAAAAAAAAAAAAUGAUGAUGCACUAAUAUUUAUUGAUAGUAAUUGAUAAAAAAAAAAAAAUCCCUUUUGGCCUAUCUAAGGCUAGCAACAUUUUGUAGAAGAAAAAUAAAUUUGAAGAGGCCAUGGGUUAGGUACUUAGCUCUAUCAAUAUUAAAUGCCAUUAGGGGCUAAGCAAAAGCAACGUUAAUAAUGUAGAAAUUCAAGUGUCCUUUUCUCUUUCUCAAACUAAUUAAAAUGGAUUAAUUAAUGCCCUAAUAACAACAGGGUUUAGGGCAGGGGUUCCUUUAUUUCAAAGGGCCAAAAAGAAAAGGUGACAUAGUUGUAGAAUUCUGAACCCUCUGCUUCUCUUCUCUGACGCUGUUCGAUGUUCAUUCAUUCACACCUUCACAUAAAAAAGAAAAAAAAAAAGACAUUGGUGGAUGUGUUCUGUUCUCCCAAGUAUCUUUGACUACUGACUUAAAGAGGAAUAUUUGGCCACCUUCCCUUGUUCUUUUGUUUUUUCCUUUACCAUUAACUCUCUUACAAAUUCCAAUCAGGUGCCUUUUAAAUAAUCGUAAAAAGCUCUGCGAGGAAUUCAAAAUUCUUAAUACUAUAAAAAAAAAUCUCCUCUGUGUGUAUUAAUAAUGAAUUAUCAUUUUGUACAUAGAUACUUGUAAAAAAUUAAUCAUAAAUUUAAAUAAUUUAUAUAAGCAUAAAGAUAAAUUUACAUUUUAUUUUUAAUUUUAUAUAUAACUAAUUCAUGAAUCAAUUAAUCAUUGCAACUCGACUCCUUUCCAACUCUUUUAAUUACUAUUUUUCAAUGCUUGUAUAAUUUUUUUGCAAUUUUAUUAUUAAUAAUUGAUUAUUAUUAACAACUUUUUUUGCAGCUAGAGUAUGUGGAGAAGAUCCAGGAACAAUUAAUCUGGUUAGUAGUAAAACUUUUUAUAGUUCAAUCUUUGGUGCCUUCUCUUGUUUUUCUGAAAAAGAAAGCUUAGGGUGUUUCAAAGUUGGUAGAAAGUCAUGUCAAUCACAUUAUUAUCUCAACAACCAGAAUUAGAUUAGAUUUGGGCUGCAAAAAUGAUUCAAGUUUCAGCAUACCUUUGACACAACGUAAGAGAAAGAAACCUCAUUGGCCAAUUUGGAACUCCCAAAUCCCAUCUAUUGUCUUCUGUCUUCAGAUUUUAUCUAUAUUGUACUGUCCUGGAUUCCCUGGCGACUGGCGUCAUCUUUUGCUUCCAUUUUACCCUUUACUUGUCAUUGGUCAAACCAGAAGUAAACAAUGUUUAGUUCUAAGUUUAACCCAAAGAGAUGAUUUUUGCUUAGUUUUUACAAUGAUAAAACUUUUGAACUUCGCAAAGGAUGGGGUGCCAGCCUGAACAUGCCAGGCCUAAUGGCUGUGAUUGAACCAAGGUUCUGACUGGAUUCUCUUCUAUUCUUUGUGUUUAAACUUUUUUAACCAAUCAAACAUUGAGAUUGUGAGGACCACCCUGAACAAUCAAUCAGUCAAAAUUUACAGGUAAUUAAAUACUAAAGAAAGAUCAUAAAUUAAUCGAUUAGAUUUGAUUGAUAUGGCAUUAUUAUCAUUUGAGAUAUGAUUUAACAACUCCUCUUUUCUUUUAAUACUACCCUUUUUCCUUCAUUAUUAUUCUUAAUCCUCUAAUUUCCUUUCAAUUUGUUUUUGGUAAUAAUUGAAAUUAAAACAGUGAAAAAAAAAGAAUAAAGUGUUUGCAAAUUUUGUGAAUGAUUGAUAAUGACCCAAUUGCUGUUUUAGAAGGAAAUGGCAGUUACUAUACAGAGCAAAAUGAAAUUCCACUUUUUCAUCAUUGCAGUUGUUGAAAAGGCCAUGGUGGUCUUCAUCAUUUCCAUAUUUUCUUUUGUAUUCUGUUGAAAAAAGAAGAAAAAAAAGAAAACCAAUUUUGAUUAAUGACCAAAAGAAUUUCAAUUACUACAAAGAGCUAGCUUUUGUCGUAAUCGCCAAUUCCUCGGCUAUUUUUUUAGUUCAAAGGUUGAAACUUUAGAAUAGCGCCGACUAGGAGUUUCACAUAGGUGAUAGGUCGGCCCACCCUGAUACGGCCACAUCAGAUGGACCCCACGUAGUGAUGACGUGGCGAGAUCAAAAUGGGGAAGAUGUAGAAGGUUGUAAUGGAGAGGAGAAAUGACAAGAAGAGAGGACCAUGAUAUGAACAGAGUCUUUUACACUUGUCGUCUACAAAACACAGAGACCGUCAGGUUUUUUUUUCGUUUCUAUCUCUGCUUGUUUAACUUAGAAAGUUGGAAACUCAGCAGUGAGAAAAAGAAAGUGUUUAGAGUCUUAUUGGAGUUAAUAGAGAGAUCUAAUGGAGUAUGAGAGAAUAGAUAAAGUUCAGGUAAGCCAUUUUUUUUGUGUUCUUUGAGCUUUUGUACGUUAAUGAAGGGUUUUGAGGUUUUGGUUUAUGAAUUGUUAAUGUCAACUUUCUUUUAGAAAGGGAGUUAAGAUGUGAAAUGAAGAAAAAAAAAAAAAAAAACUUGUCUUUGGGUGGUGAAUGGUUUUUGUUCUGAUCUGGGUUUUAAACAAAUUUUAAAGUUUAAAGGUUUCCCUAUUCUUGUUUUAUUGAAUUAAAAGUGAGGAGAAACAAAUAUGGAUAAUUUUUUUUUCCUUUUGGGUCCAAAAAUGGAGUCUUUUCUAGAUGAUGGGAAAUUGGGAAUUGAUUUCCUUGCUUGUUUUAUGCAGGAAGUUGAAUGCUUUUUUUUUCCUUUAAGUUGGUUGUGAUGAUGGGAAGGUUAAUUUGUUUGCUUUACAUUUUUUCUUUUUUGAUUGAUGGAACCAAGACAAUGGAAAAGUACCAUGAUUUUUCUCGUAUUUAAUCACAGUUUAAUAUGGGGUAUGGGCUUAGUACAUUGAUUCUACAUAAAGGGAUGCUCUUUUCUUCAUUUGAAAUUGAAUGUGAAUUAAAGUUUCUUUCUUUCCUUUUCCUUUUUAAAUUCCUUUUUUGGAUCUUUACUGCAGGGCGGUAUUUCACCAAGUAAAUUGAGGAUGAAGCUGAUGGGGCCUCAUCAUCACAGAAUGAAAGAUGGAUCAAACAGCAAUUCUUCUAGGACAUCUCCUUCUAGGAUUGAGGAUGCUGAGUUUGUCAACGGUUUAUUAGCCUCUAAGAAUGGAGAUUUUGAUGAAGAAGGUUUGCUACUUUCUCUCUUUUCUUCAUUAUUAUAACUCAUACAUCUGGACUCCCUCUGCGCUGCAAAGCAAGUGCUUUCUUUUUUCUUUCUUUGGCCUGAAUGAAACUAGCAGGUAGAAGUCUGCUACUUUUGAAGAUCUUAUGGUCUGUAAAUUAGAUAUAGGUAACAUUUCUUUCGAAGAAUUUUUUUGGUGGAAAAAUACUAGCACUAUCAUGGCUAAAUAUGAUUCCAUUUGUUUCUUGGCCUGGUUUAGGCAGGGAGAGCAGAUGCAUUGAGCAGAGUGUUUUAUCUGCUGAUUUAAACAUAUUUAAUUGAAUUGCAGUUCCAAGCUUUGAUGUUGCACCCGUUAAAAUAUCCAAUGAGGUGGUGUUGGAUUCCAGCCUAUAUGAUCAAAUUUCUAGCCAACCAAAGGAGUCACUUGCAAGGGAGAGCAUUGAAGUGGAUCAUGCUAAAUUGCAGCAAUUCUCAAAGAAUGAUAAUGGUAAUUCCAGCACAAUUCAUCCCAUGAGGACACUAGAAGAUGAAAAUCUUGAUUAUGAUAGUAACGCUAGUUCAUCAAGCUUUGAGUUUCAUAAGGGAGAGAGAGUACACAAUUCCAUGACAAGGUCAUACUCGAGACCUAUGUCAUCUAAGUGGAAUGAUGCAGAGAAAUGGAUAAUGAACAGGCAAAAUGUCCAAGCUGCUUAUGCUAAGAAGAAUGCAUUUCACAACCAAGCUAAUCGAUUUCCCAUGACAAAUAUGGUGCGAGUUGCUCCAGAGUCCGCAAAUUAUGAUCAGAGGUCAGCAGUUAAUCGCAUGGUUGACACUAAGAGGGUAGAUUUAUGUCAGCCGGCUGUGCAGAUGGCAUUCGAGAAGUUCUCUUUUAUUCCUUCUGCAGCUCAUCCUAAGUCUGUGGAAGCAUAUGGAGGAAACUUGUUAAGUAAUCGGUGUCCUCAAAGUAAAGAUUUGAGGGAAGUGGCUCAGAGGGAUUUAUCUUGUACAGAAAGUUCAGCAGAAGAUACAGCAGGUUAAUUUGCAUGAUGAGCUUUUACAUGUUUUGUGCCUAAAAAUUAGAUAUUAGCAGACUGCAUAUUUAGUGAUGCACCGUGCAUCCAUCUUGAUUAUAGAGUCUACUGUAUCAUCUGAUCACCAUAAUGAGCACGUGCAUUAUAAUGUGAUUAAGAACAUUGAAAUGUUUGACUCCCAUGCAACAGAUUGAGCCAUGGGGCUGGGCAACUGUUGCUUCCACUCUUCUGGGCCCCAAACGGAUGCUAUGAGUUGAGUGAAGGGUUUAUGAAGCUUAAGCCAUUAUAGUUACAUAUGCAUAUGAUGAUUUCUUAUAUGGGCCUUGAAACCAUCAUGUGAAUUGAUGAGUUUAAUGGUCACCUUACCCUGUGGGAAGUACCAACAAGGGAUUCUCAGGCUCCUUCAUACCCUGAUUCUUUUUUCUUUUUGCUGUGGGGAUGGUAUGUGAAGGAGAAUUUGUAGAGUUUGGUUUUUCUGCUGUUACAACAUUGUCAUUUUAUUUUGCUUUAAUAAAUUUUAUAUAGUAGCUGCAAUGUUAGUUUCUUUUCCUUUUACCGUCAAAUGGCUUGAAACCUUUUUGAUAUUCUUUAGUACACAGAAUAUUGACCAUAGUUUUUUUUUUUUUAUUUAAUCUCUAUCUCAUACUUUAAGAUUUGGCGUUGCAGUUCUGCCUGCAAUACGAUCAGUUUCUAUGAGAGAUAUGGGAACAGAAAUGACUCCUGUUACAAGUCAAGAGCCUUCUAGGACUGCUACCCCUGUAGGGGCAACAACUCCUCUCCGAAGCCCAACGUCUUCAUUCCCAUCUACUCCCAGAAGAGGGGAACCAACAUCAACGCCUUUGGACCACGCUACAGAUGAUGAGUCACAGCAUCCCACUAAUAAUGGCAAGAAAGAAUUGUCCAAGCAAGAAAUGAAGCUCAAGACAAGAAGAGAGAUUGUAGCGCUUGGCGUCCAGCUUGGCAAGAUGAAUAUUGCUGCUUGGGCAAGCAAAGACGAGAAGGAAAACAAUACAUCUGCAGUUGAAACCACUAGUAUAGAGGAGCUUGAGCAGAAUGAAUAUGAAAAACGAGCAGCUGCAUGGGAGGAAGCUGAAAAGUCUAAGCAUACAGCAAGGUAUAUGAUCCAAUAGUUUACAAAUUUCUAUGCGCUUAAAACUAUUUCCCAUUUAUUUAUUUUUGCUGAAUGCAUAUUUCUAUUUCCUAGGUAUAAGCGUGAAGAGAUCAAAAUUCAAGCAUGGGAGAGUGAGCAGAGAGCAAAACUAGAAGCAGAGAUGCGAAGAAUAGAGGUAUCUGAUAUCCCUUGUGUCAUCACAUACUCAAAAUAAAGAUUGCUGAUCUCUUCGUAGGGAAUUGGUAAUGUAAAAGCUCAGUGAAAAUAAAGAGAGUAAACCUGGAUAAAAUGCUAGUAGGAAGGACAGUUAUGUUCAUCUUAACCUCAAAUCUUCAGACAUGAUUCAAAAUAAAUGAACCUUGAAAUAUGGGUUGGUUUUAGAUUGAGAUCAUGCAGUUAACCGAGUUAAAUUCCAUUACAAAAUCUAAAGCAUUUGAUUCAAGUCUUUGUUUAACCAGAAAGAUUGCAGUCAUAAAGGAUCAUUCCUGUGGCCACAUGCUGAGGAAUAAACUGAUAAUAAGCUUGUCUUUGACUUUUCAGGCAAAAGUAGAACAAAUGAGAGCUCAAGCUCAAGCAAAGAUGGUGAAGAAGAUUGCUAUGGCUAGGCAAAGAUCAGAAGAAAAACGAGCUGCAGCCGAAGCCAGAAAAAAUCGAGAUGCAGAAAGAACUGCUGCUCAAGCAGAAUACAUUCGCCAAACAGGAAGAAUCCCAUCAUCUCGUUGCAUGUGUUGUGGAUGGUUGUCAUAAACUCGUAAUAUAAUAAACAAUGAAUAAAAGCAAAAUUGCUCAUGCUCUUGUACACUUAUGACGAGUAUUAGCGGAUGGUCAAUGAAUUUUGUAUUUAGAAGUGGCCUUAGUUUUUAUGUCUUUACAUCGAAAGAUGAAAUGAAUAGUGCAAUUGAUGCAGAUAAUGCCAAUAGUAUUUUCACACCAUGGGGAGAGACUCUUGUUCCAAAUAAAUCUUGCAUAAAUCCUUCCUUAUCUUUGUUUUUGAAAGGAAAACGAUUACACAAAGGAAGAAGAAAAAUUGCAAAUUAUUGAAGGAGAUCUAAACAUGAAGGAAGAAUCUUGCACGCAUCUGGAAAGUAUCUAAAUAGAAGACUAGUUUCAAGAAUUUAAAGGAAGCAUUUUGGAAAUGAAUCAUGUCGAUACAAGAGAAUAUUAUCAUCUUUAAAUCGUAUCUUUAACAUUAUUUGAAAAUGUAAAAUGUGUUCUUAAGGUCGUUAUUUUCUUUAUGGGCUAUGUCUCUCCUUGCCAACGGUUAAAGUUCAAUUGGUACUGGGCUGUUGGUCAUUUUAAAAGGGGAGGCACUGAUGUAGUGGUGCUUAAGUCAGCCCAACGGGCAGGAAGUGGAAGCAGUCUUUAUGCUCCAUAUGCUGCAAUGGUUUAGUCAGCUUAAUAUUGGUGCUAAAGAGUCCGGACACGGUUCAGAUCGGCCUGUAGCCUUGAAGACUUGGGCUACUGUCCAGUCAACAAAACUAUCCUCGGUUUCUCUAGACUUGAUAGGAUCCGCACUGGUCAGUACGUGUUGUUGGAAUCUAUAUGGCUUGAAAAGUGCCUUGGUAAAAAAUGGGUCCCUGGCAAAACAUGCACGCUGGGAAUUCUCUCUGGUUUUGGCUUCCGCUUAAGCAAACAUUUGAGCUUGUUCAACUCUCUUUUACCACUUUGGUUCUGUGUGUAAUGGCCUGAUGGGUUAAAUCCCCUUUGGUAAUAGUAAUAAUCUAUACAUCAGUAGCUCCUAUUUAAUCUGAUUGGUUCUUGCUAGCCGAUUUCUGUAAUAAUUUUCUGCUUCACGCCUAUGGAAACCGUACCAAUUUACCAAGGAAUUUCUGAUUCAUGGACUUGGUUUGUGUCAAGCAUAUUCUUUUAGGGACAGUGACUUUCUACGUCAAGUUUCCCACCACAACUAAUCUUGAACCUCUCUCCUUUAGAUGACUUUCGCUUUUGCAAUUGUACCAUGCAUUUCUUUUUAUGAAUGUUGCUGAAAGUAUUCAAGGUUGAAAAGAAAAGAAAUGACUUUUAUGAUAGAUUCAGACAACUCAAAAUGUCAAAAGUAGAAAAGAGAAGUGAAAAGAACAUCAAAAGAGCAGUUGUCUGAGUCAAAAACAAGAACAUAGCUUUAAUGAAACUAAACUUGCUAUACUAUGUUCAUUUCUUUGUUUUUCAUAAACAAGGGUUCCAUUACUCUCCAAGGGUUGAAUGCUAAGAGAAUUGGCUUAAAUCUGACUGAUCUUGGGAGUACAGAAAAGAAAAGGGUCAUAAACUAUCAUUUAGGACUCAAACCUGCAAUGUACAAAAAAUAUUUGAUAGACAAAUAUACACAAGAUUUCUGUUGUUAAACAAUAUCUUCAAUCUUCUCCACAUUCACGGAGGAGGGAAUGAAAAGUUCAGUCAUAUAAAAGCUGACAUCUAAUGAAUUUGAAGUUGAAAUCUCAACAAAUCUAGAGUUAUGGUCUCUUUCAUACCAAAAAAAAUGGUAAUGAAGGAAAAUAAUUGACAAUCUUAGGAAAACAACUCUCCCUCACCACUGGCAAAUCUCUUACAACUAAAAUAAAAUUUUUUAUUACUUAUGUCACGGAAAUCUUAAAUCUCACAUCGAACAUAAUAGGAAGGUCACUGAGAUAUAAAAGUGUUCACACCAUCUUUUUUUUGUGAGAUGUUUUUUGUAGGAUAAAACCGUGAGAUUAGGGGAUUAGAGCCAACAAUAUCUCAUAGGUGUAAACCGUGACAAAAAAGCUGAUCUGAGACGUCGGAUGAGUGGAUGCGUGAGUCUUGGAAUCGCGCGGGUUCGGAGCUUAAGUCUCGACCCGUGACACUUGCAUGCCAACCCAAAAAUGAAUACCAAUUGCCAAGUGCCAGUGUCACACGGGUCGAGACUUAAGCUUUGAAUCUGCGCGGUUUCGGGACCCAAACAUUCACUCUUCUGACAUCUCAGAUCAGCUUAACUGACACAGUUCACAUCAUUGUGAGAUAUUGUCUACUCUGACCCCUUUGACCUCACGAUUUUAUCUUACAAAAAGUACCUCACAAAAAAAAAAUUAUGUAAAUCUUUUUAUAUCCUGAUAACUUUUUUAUUAUAUUCGAUGUGAAAUUCAAAAUUCUUCCUUAAAUCCAAGACACCAACACACAUAUAAUUCACAUAUAUUAAAGGAACGUUUCUUUUUGGCCAUGUUACAUGCUUGGCAGAACAUUGGGUCAAGCAAAAGUUUUGAUGGAGUGCAAGUUAAAGGAAAGAGGACAUCCUUCUCACCCCCCACCUAAACUAAAGGGCUUUGGGCAGAGGUUGUUGGAUUGCCAACCCAACUCCUUUAAUUUUAAUUGGUACUAUUAUUGUUUAUGGGAGCCCCACCUUUUGUCACCAUUGCAUUCCUCAACUCAAGUCCUAUCUAUUGUCAAAUGCCCCACAACAUGCAAUCACAAAAACACAAAACUAACCCUUCAUUUCCACCUUUAGGCUGUGGCCAGUACUCGCCACCCAGUCCCACAAACCCAAAAAGGAGACCUCAACUAAUAUCUCCUCUCUCUCCCUACCCUUUCUUUAAAUUCAUUGAAUUUUAUCCUCUUGAGUAAAUGGGAAUUUGGUAGAAAUUCCCAUGAAAUUUGCUUGUGGACAUGUCAGGUCUACCGACAUAAAGCUGGCCCAUAAAUUCGGCUACGAAUUAUUGGAAACCUUCCAUUUCAUCUGCUGCAUUUGAUUCCGCUUUUUUUUUUACUUGAAUUCCAGAUGAAGAGAUAGGAAAGGCAACUUCAACGUUUUUCUAGCGAUUUGUAGGGUUCUCUUGCCAUCCUCAUUUGAGUUGCAGCAAAAUUUCCACCUCUAAAACAUGUAGUCACAAUUUGGUGAGACAGAAUUGGAGCAGAUAUGUUUUGAUCAGCUGCCUCUAAAGAGUCUCUGAAGGCAUAAAAACAUGUCCUAGGUACGAUGUUUUACACCUCGAGAGACUGGUUUUUUGUUGUCUUACUGAUCUUCAGAAUCUUUUCAAAUUGCUUUACAAUACCAUCCCAAAGAUGGUUAUAUGAUCAUAUAAUCAUUGUUGUUUAGAUGAACUGCAAUGGAAUUAUCAAAUAUUUCCAAGUCUAGGUGCCAUCAUUUAUUUAUCCCUCCUCAAACAACCCCGACACUCGACCUUUUUUUUCUUACCAGGAUAUGUUUGAAGGACUAGUCUCCUUUUCAUCAAACAGGAGACUGCCAGAAACGAUGGCAUAUGUCUCCCCUUCAGUUAGGAUAUUGACAAACGCUCUAGAUUGAUGAGCUGAUGAUGAUAGUGAAAGCAGGGUUUGUGUUCACUUUUCAGAAGUUGGAACAAAACAAGAAAAGGGGGGCCAUUUUCACACUAAUGGAACGCAGAAAUGGUUGGUUUUUGACAACUACUUUUAACUAUAAGGACCAUCACGUGGCUCUUGGAUUUACUAGCCAUCCAAUUUCAUACCAGAUAGGAACUUUUAUAACUUGGGAAACUUCAAAAAUUGUUCAACAUCAGCUUGCUUCACGAAUAUUGAAAUCCUAAUAAAUAUGGAUUGUACAUAUUUCAACAACAUAGGAGACAAAAAUCUCUUAUAAUUACAGUAUUAGCUUAUAUAUAAAAACUUCAAGCUUGAGUUAGGCAGCUCUUUCCACCUACUAUAAAAGGGUUGCAAGAGACGCUAAUAUUAAAGGAGAAAAACAGUAUCUUAACCCGUCAAAUUGUUCAGUAGUCCAAAGACCCCGCAGAAGCAAUACCAGAGCUCAAAUUUCUCGAGUCCUGCCGGCUCACAUAGUCAUCACAGCUGCCAUUAGAGAGCCUCUGAACUGGGACAGAGUUUAGAAGCUCCAGGCCUCGUUUGCCCAUUUGCUGCACUUCUUGAGGUGAAAGUAUCUUGAUACACCAGACACUGUUCACAAACUCCCUGGGGGAAGGGGGAAAAAAAGGGAAUUAAGUCCGGAAUUAGAAAAUGAAGAAGUUAGCAUGUUGAACCUCAAAAUAGAUUUAAAUGCAUGCACCCAAAAGGGUUGAAAUUUACCACACUAAGUUUACAUAUAUGUGCAUGUCAAAAGAAUUUUUAUGAUAGAAUGCAACAAUUUCAUAUGCUAAAUGGUCCAAAGAACUCGAAAUACAUCCUAAAGUUGAGACAAAAUUAUAUCCAUACAAUAAUAGUAAGCAGAAUGGAAACUUACGGCCAGGGGUCAUCACCGAGGAGAAGAACAUCAUUCUCCCGGUCAACAAAUACAAGCUGCCAGCCUGAUCUCAAAGGGUCCUCCAACUGGCCUUCAAGGCCAAACAAGCGUGCAAGUUCACUGCGCAGCUCAUUAUAGCUGCUGAAUUUUGAGAUAUCAAGUGACCUCCCAAAGGACCCUGAUUUAUAAACCUGUUCCAUAGCAAAAAUAUUCACAUCAAUUACCAAGAAUCAAUAUAAUUUUAUCUGAAAAACAAGGACAACAAAACUGCCAACAUAUCAAACUUGCAACAUGUAAAGGAGAACCAAAGUUCACAAACCAAAUUGAACUCAUAAAACCAACCAAUUCAUUAAUCUACAAAUAUAUAUUACAAACAAAAGGCAACUGACCUUAACAAAGGUUCUAGUUUGUGGGUUUCCUUGGCCCACGUUUAAUGGAGACUGCAAGAAUCCUGAUUCAUCAAUGUAACUGGAAGGUGUCAUUGCGGGAUUAACUGAAAAAUCAGUGCCAGUAGUACUCAUAUAAUUAGGAGAGAAGAGCAUAGUAGUGGAGUCACUAUCGCUGCCAACUCCCCUAAGGCUUGACAUCCCAUUUUGCAUUAGAAGAGAUGAAGGCUCUAUAUUAACACCAAAUAAGAGAUGGCUCUGUGGAUCGAUACCCCCUUCUUGGUCUAUCGAGCACUCCCUGCCAGGAAAGGGUGGCAAUGAAAUGGAAUUUUGAGACAUGUUUGUCUGAGGUGGCCCCAACUGUUCCACCUGGGUUAGAACGCACUGUGGAGAUCCAGAUGAGAGAACUUCAACAGGAGCCCGCUUAGAGGGCCAUGCAGCAGAAGUUAUUACAGGGUUGGAUCCAGGCAAGUUGGGCAGAUUGGACGAUUCAUCUUGGGAAAAAGAACCCAAAAAACUAUGCAAAGGAGAUACAAUAGGGCUGGCCACAGGGUUCCCAUUUGAAUCAGAAAAGCUCUGUUGAUGGCAUAGUGAAGAUAUGGCUUGCAAAGAUGAUGACUGGGAUUGAGAGGCUGAAGCAUACAGUGACACGGCAGACACUACACUAGAAAUCUGCUGAUGAUCAACAAGUUGCCGGUGUUGCUGUGACAGUGGUUGCUGUGGCUGCUGUUGAUUAUUAAAUGAAUUCUGCUGCUGCAGUUGUUGCUGAAGAAGAUGUGGCUGUGUUUGAGCCUGAGCCUGAGGCUGAGACUGAGAGUGAUGCUGGUUGUCUUCAACACCCUGAAGAAAGGCCUGAGGCUGAGACUGCUGCAACAUCUGGGGCUGCAUUAAAGCAGCAGGCCUGCAGGGUAGAUUUUGGGGUUGCUGGAAUUGCAGAAGCGAUGCAGUUGCUGGUUUGGAAGGAUCCACAGCUCUCAUCUCUUGCAGUGCAGCAGCAGCCAUAGCUUGGUACAUGUCAGUCUGCAAACCCAUCAUGGAAGCAUCCAGCCUCGGCUGCAUCCAUGGUGUAACUCCAAUCCCCUGAAAAUUCAGAGACCGCAUUCCUCGAUCUGCAUCUCCACGUAGCCACAUAAAUGGAGAAUUCAUGCCUAGAUCAUCAUCCUUGAUGCCUAAGAGCAAGAGCAAGUCAAAUUAAAAAGAAUAAAAAUGUUAAAGAAUUACUUACAAAUAAAAAGAAAUAACCUUUUUUAUGUUCAAAUUAGACAGAGAGGAGAUAAGAGAAGUAAAGCAGGUAGUUGAAGCUUCACAGCCACAGAUAUAGCAGCAGACUAGCAUACCAUGGAAAGAAGGUAAUCCCGGUGGCCAUGGUCUCUUAAGCCUUAAAGGAAAUGGAGAUGGAUACAUGGGGAAUGUUGUCAAUGGUUCAAUCUCCCACAAGGAAACUCUUGGCUGCCUUUCUCCAGCUGUUGAUUCAUCCCAGCCAACCUGCAUGAACAAGUUAAAUUUCACAAAGUCUCAUCACCAUAGAUAGAAAAUCUAAAACAACAAAUCUGCAAGGUUCUCAAUAAACAAAUGAUAAAGGCAAUCAUUCUCAACACACCUUGACUGAUCGCCAAUGUGAAUUUGGCCACCGAACAGGAUCUAAGUCACUUAUGCCAGUUAUAGUGCCCAUGUAUCUGGGAAAUGCACAACCAUCAGAUUCAAAGUCCAUAAUGUUCACAAGUAAACAUACAAGAUGGGACACAGAACAAAGAAAGAGAAAAGUGAUCUGUUAGAUGAUCAAAAAAGGCAUUAGGAAAGUGCAUAAAUGAAACAACAGAUCUAACUUCAACAGAGUACUAGCUGCAAUUUAAUCCUUUUGUAAGGAAAGCCCGUCAGACAUCAAGCCACUGUUAAAAGAAUGAUAAUCUAAUUCGUUUGCAAGGAAAGCUACUUUAUACAGCAAGAAUCAACCAUUAAAAGUUAAAGGGUUUGAAACUUACCGACGAACACUUGAUUCCUCAGUUUCAAACAGCAUUCUAAAGCGCAUACCAACAGACACUCGAGUAUGAUAGACAGCUUUGAUAUAUUUUGCCAGCGGUAUAACAAAUUCUGAUGGACUAGCCCUGAAUUGAAGGAGAAUAAGUUUAGAUGGGCUGAGAAAUCACUAAGCAGAACACUUUAAUGAUUACCGAGAUGCACAGCAAUGGCACCAUACCUUGGGUUAUAAAAUAUAGUGAAACGGCUAUUUGUUGCAGCUGCAUGAGCAGCAGCAGCAAGAAGCCCUAAGUGCAUGCUAUCGCUUGAUAAAACUGAUGAAGGCAUUACAGUUUGAGGUCGAUUAGCUCGUCGGAUACCAAGAAGCAAUUGAUUUUUUUCAUUCCUGUCAAAAUAACCCAAAUGUUGGUUUAAGCAUCAAAUACCAACAAUCUACAACAAAAGCAAUUUAAAGAGCCACAAAAAGUUGUAGUAAAGGCAAAAAGCAAGAGAGAGAUAGAGAGAGCAUUCUCCAUAUCUGCACCCUUCACAUAACAUGUGAGGAGAAGAAAUGGUUCCCCAAAACUCAGCUAAUGGACAUGUACCAAAACGAAUAUUAUAUCAUGCUUUUUCAUAGAAAUUCAUCAGUGUUUCUUUGGCUAAGCAUCUGAGAAAAGAAGGAAAAAAAAAGUACCAUAGCUGUAAUUCUCAAGAAAAAAAUGUUUUUGCAAGCAAGAAUGCAAACUUCAGCUAAAGAACAGCUUGAAUUAUCCAUUUUGGACAUGAGAAUGCUAGACAAAUCUAAAUCCACUCUGUUCUGAUGCAAGUGGAAGCACGCUAAAAUGGAAGACAAGCCAGAUACCUACCAGAUAAAAAGCACUGAAUCACCCGCAACUAGUCUUUUAGCACUUACAAAUACACUCCAUCCUGUUGUCAAGAGGUGCCUUUUGGGCUGGCCUGCAUGGUACAAGUCAAUGAUUGUAAGUUAAGUACAAUUUACUCUUAGGGCAAUUUGAUGGUGGGAAUUUAACCUCCAUAUGGCAUACAUGACAGAUAAUCAACAGUAGCGACAAUUAUAAUUAAGGAGUGCCAAUUGUCUAAGUGAAGGUUUCUGAUGACUUCUUCAGCACAAAUGAUAAGUUAAAAUGCAUUUCUCUACAACUUUACAAAGGCAUAUGAAGCUAAGAAUUGCAUUCCUUGCGAAAAAGAUCCAUAUUUGAAGAGCAAAAGGGGAUUCUUAUAAACAAACCCCGAAAUAUAUGCCUAAAUUUCCAUUCAUUAUCAUGCAAGUCCCUUGCAAUCAACUCUUGAGCUGGAGGCUGCAGGGAGAAAUCCUGCAGGCAAUCAAUAGCAUAAAAUUAGAAAUAAAACACUGUGAAAAGACAUCAACACUUAUAGUGGCAACAGUUUACCAGUGGAGGAAACACUUUUUCAGCUGCUCGGCGAGGAACAGAGAACCCUCCAUGAGUGCUUGUGUCACUGGCUGUUAAUGUUUUACAGAAAUAGUUUGUGGGCUGUUUGCUGGGAGUGCCCAAUUCUGCGGGUAGGUAAGCCUCCUUUUGUUCUUGCUGUAGAAAAAGUAAUCUUCAAUGCUUGAAGCAAUAAAAAAGACUGACAAAAUCACAAUGAGAACCCAGAAAAGAUAGCAUACCAGACUCAGAGGCUGCAAGGUCAUUUGUGCAUAUACUUCAUCUGUCUCAACAUCUGCCUGAAGUUGACAAAUUUUUAGGCUUCAGAGACAAGUCUAUAGGAAGAUAAAGCAUCAGAAAACCAAACUAAACAAGCCAUACAUGCAUGGUGACAUUAUGAAGCUGACAAAUAAGUUGUGGAGGUAAGCUUGGAUAGUUAGGUAUGUGGGCAUCCACUUCCUUGUUGGUUGAUGCAGCUACCUACAAAGAAAACCACCAAUAUAUGCGUCAAAAAGCUUGUUUGGUUACUGAUAUGAUGUCUAAUUAAAUAGAAUGAACCACCAUACUUGUAAGGAACCAGAUUAAUGAUUUCAACCAAUAUAUUUGAUAUGCUGAUGACUCUAAGAUACAGUCAGGCACAGAGCAAAACACAAUACAGAGAAAGGGGAGAUCACUAUCAACACCUUAAGUUGUCUCAAAAGAGUUUUACAUAAAACGUAUGUGUUUGAAACAUGCUCUGCACACGUAUAACAAAAGUACAGGACUAAUAAUCAGCAAUUAUUAGUCAAAUAUGUACUUAUAUACCAAUCCUUGGCAAAAAGAAAAUAGUUUUCAAAGUUUAAAUAUAAAGAACCAACAUAAUUAACAGGAUAUAUAUCAUACAGCAUAAACACCAGAGUAGACUAAAACUCUGGAAGAAAGCCAUUCCAGCUCCACCAAAGAGUGAAAGCACCCUUCACAAAAGCAAGGAUUAUCACUCAAUACAGACAUUACAUUAGUUCAACCAGGUUUAAUUUGACACAAUUCCCUAUGAUCCAUGGCCCGACAAGCAUUUUAAAAUGAAAUAACCAAUGGUUCCCACCACAUAGGACAAACUUUUUUUUUUCAUAGCAACCAUGAACAACAGCCAUCCAUGGUCUACCCUCACAAGGUGGGUUGUAAAGGUUGGGGAUCAACCAUCUCGGUUUCCCAGGUAUUUGCAGCAACCAAUACAUGAAUAUUGCAAGUUUUUAAUGUUGGCAUAAGAGUCUGAUAGGAAAGCAAUAUGGGAAAAUUAUACAAAAUUCCAGACCAGCAAAAAAUUCUGGUUUAACUUUCCAGAAAUAUAAACCUCCCUCCAUAUUACAACAAUAAAACUUGAUUUGAAAUUGUUAUUAAAAAAAGGCCAACAGGGUAAAAAAGGAUAAGGUAUGGUAUAAAACUCAAGUCCAGUAAGAUCUACUGGAGCAUCAACUCUGGUAACAAAAAAAGCUGAAGAGUAGGAGUCAGGAAGGUUUGAUCGCGCAAAUGGCCAUACCCUAAAAUUGUAUUUGGUGCUAAAAAGAGACAUUUGAAGAUCACCCUUACGUUAUUUACACUUUUAAAUUAAUAGGAAAAGGGCAGUAAUGAUGAUAUGAUGCAAAAUAACUUUUUGACUUUUUCCUUGGCCAAGAUAGUGAAACAAUAUUCAUAAUUUAUUCUUCAUGAAGCAAACGCAAGUUGAUACACACAUAACAUCUGCAGUAAACAAAAUCUGCUUAAAAUUCAUUAUUAAGAACAAGCUAAACCCAAAUCCAAGCAUACUAACCUGUUCACUAUGACCCUGUGGGAAAUAAACAACCCUACUUCCGACCGGAGGUAGACAAACAAGAGGACCCGCACAUGCAUGCCAAAGUUCAGAGUUCAGAACUCUCUUCUCUCCUGCAAAGUCUAUUUUGCAUUAAAGUAAAACUACUUCAACAAAAGUAAAAGAGAGAAAAAAAGAAAUGAAGAAACUGAACUUAAAUUGAUUACAAACCCCAAAUUAGUGAAUUAAAAAUGUCAUCUAGAGAUCAAAGGAUGCCAAAACAUAAAAAUUCCAAACUUCAACAAAUAUGGGUAUGCAACUAUGCAUUAAACUCCAAAAUAACGCUUGAUCAUAACACACACACACACACCCACACACACACACAACACAAAACCCACAUACGACGUGAAAAAGACACAAAUUCAGUAAGACAUUUACCAUAUUGAACCUCAGCUUGUCAUAGAGAAAACGGUGGAUGAAAUCAAAGUUGAAAAAAAUUUGAAAACUUCUUCACCCCGGGCAAAAUUAAAAAAAAAAAGAAAUGAAUUAAUAAAGAUUCAAUCAAACAAACAAAAGGAAUUGGGCUAUCCUACUGUGGCUUCGCAUUUGAGACUUGGGAAAUCCAAAUAAACUGGAGUUAGUGAUCUGGGGUUUAACAUUUUAAGGUUUCAGCUUUUCCUACAUUUUCUCAAGCCACAAACAAAGCCAAUAGACAUCCAAAAUUCUACAACCACGUUUUAUCCCCCUUCAACUCUCCCAAGAAACUCAAUCUAAUCCUUAGAAAAAUGAGGAGGCAAAAAGGAGAGAAACAGCAACAAAGAAGCAUACCUUCCUGAGUUUGGGGAUUGAAACCAGCUGAAGAAAGCUUCAUUUUUUUUUUCUGAAUAAAUUUAACAAUACCUUUAAGUCCCAAGUUUAGACCCUCAAGAAAAAGAUUCCCCACCCCAAAAACCCUUCCUUUAACCACACCAAUUAAGCACCUAAAUCCUCCAAACAAGGACACGCACAAUCAAAUACCCUUCUUUUUACUCCUUUCUCUCCACAAGAAACACCAUGCCUUAACAAGAACCAGCUCCAAUUGAGAAAAAAAAAAAGCUGACAAUUCACCCGUCAAAGAAGAGAUUUUAAAAACAACACAAAAACAAAAAGCCCCAACCCCAAGAGUUCUUGCCUUUUUUUGUUUCAACCGAAACCGGUUUUACUACAAAAGACAAUUGCUUUCAGCCUCAUCCGCCUCCUAUCUUCUUCUUCUCCACCCAAAAACCCCCAAGUGUUCUUCUCUUGAACCACAACCUUAAUGCUAAAACAACAACAUAAUCUUUUUUGUGUUAUGUUCCAACACUUUAGCCCCACAUUUCACCUCCCAAAAACAAAGACUAUUGAUCCUUAAAGUGUGAACAAAAACACCAGCUUUUUCUUUUGAGUUCCUUGAAGCUAGUAACCACUAACUCCAGCAAGCAAGAAAUACCCAACAGAUCUCAGCUUGAAAGAUAACGAUUUUUCAAACCUCUCAUCAAUAAGUUUCUUUUUUAACAAAGAAAACCCAGAUCUUUGUUCUCACUCACAAACCCAAAAAAAAAUGAUUCAAAGUGUACAAGCUAUAAGAACCAUAUAGUACUAUUAUUAUUACUCAUGCAGAUGGGUUUUCUUCUCUCAAAGCUUUCUCUCUCUACUUUGUGCAGUCCAACUGUGUUCAAAAGAGGUGUUGGGUAUUUAUAGAUAUUUUGCAGAAGAAUAUAUGUUUUAUUAUAUCUAUGGUUGAGGAUUUUAAAGAUUUAGAAAUCUCUACUGGUUUUUAAGGUACUGGUUUUUAAGGGCUGGGGCUCUUUUUGUUUCCAGUAAUGGAAAUCAUGGUGGUCUGAUGCUGAGUGCUGACUAGUGGGAGAGAGAAGGAGAGAGUUCCCUGCUGCUUACUACUUUGUACCAUUCACUGCUCUUUACCUUUGCCGUUUGCUUUUCUUUCUCUCUUUCUACUGUUGUUUUGCUCCUCCAACCAAUGAACACGCAACCGUCGUUUUUUUUAUGGGCUGUCUUUUUUUAUACAUCAGUGAAAAAAAAAAUAUGAGCUAAGAAAAAGUGUCCGGAGAGAGAGAAAUUGUCAGAUUAUUUUUCAUACAGGGAAGGGUUUUUUGGAGGUGAUUAAAUUGCCCUUGAAUACUUGAACAAUUACUAAGGAACCAUUUUCUAUUCACCAUUUUUUUUUUCUCUCAACUAGUAGUAAUUUUUCUGAUACAUCAUAAGAAUUUUACUUUUGCAGCAUUACGAAUUAUAUAAUAACAUUUCAAAAAAAUUUUAUUUUAAAUAUAUUUUAAAUUUAUGUUUGAUGUUUGUCAGUAAAUGUUAUAUAGUAUUUACACUUUAACACUACAUCAAAUAUAAAUAUAUUUAUUUUUAAAAUUUUAAAAUUAAUUUUUUAUAAAAUAUUAUUAUUAUUUAAUUUACUGAUAUUGUAUAACAUCAUUUCUGUGAAAUGAUUGAGAGAAUCAUUGAUCAUGAGCUAGUGAGCUUUCUAAAUGCAGAAGGCCUACAUAGAAGCCCAACUGCAAAGUCCAACGUAGUGGAAGUGGCAUGAAUAGUUUAUCUUUAUAGCAUCAUAAGCCAAAAUUUUUUUUAAGAAAAAUGAGGUGAUGGUGAUUGAUGAAUGAGUAGUAUUAAACCAUGGAUAAGAUAAAGAGGAACAUUUAUUUUAGGUUCAAUUAUUCACAUGAAAUUAGUGUUUGUAUUCUUAUAAUGGAUAGGGAUGGCUCCUUUGCAAGAAUUAGAAAAGUAGUACCAUGUUAGGCACUUCUUUUAUGAACAUUUGACAAUAGCAUGUUCUUUUUCUCAAUUUCGAUUCAUCGAUGCUCCGAAAUAUUAAAUUGAUAAAAAUAUUUUUAAAAAAUAACAUUUAAUAUAGUAAAUUUAAAGUUUAAAUUUUAAUAAUUAUAAUUUUUUUUAUUAUUGGAGACGAUUUCUUUUAAAUAUAUAUAAAUAGAUAUGUGAUAAGAUGGAUAUUUACAAAUUUUUUUCUAUGAUUGGAUCCCAUCAAACCAUGAAAAUGUACCAUUUGUGGUGGCAUUAUUAGGGAAAUUAUUAUGAGUUUAGGGUCCAUCUCAUUUAAACUCAAGGAGGGAUUACAUCCUUUCAUAGGGUCCAUCCAGUCAAGAAAAACAAUUUGUUUCUGAUUUUUUCCUUUCAUGCAUGGUUAGUUAGAAAGAUUGUUGUCAGCUUUGUGGUAUUUUUGAGGAACCUUCCAUUUCUUCAAUUAAGAUAAUCCAGUUUGAGCUGACAUUUCUUUUUCUAGGAAUCUUGAUCCAUAUCUAAGCAUCCCAUAAUAGACCAUAUCAAAAUAUUCAAACUUUGUGAAAUUUCUCAUUCAUUUCCUGAAUUUUUUCUGCUACUUUUAUAAUGUUUAGCUUGUAUUUAUCUCCUUGUAGGGUUUGUGAAAUUACUCAUCUCCUAAAUGUUAAAGAUUUUGGCAAAAAAUAAAUAAAUAAAUAAAUAUAUUAAAAUAAUUAUAUGAUUUUCCAAGUUGCAAAGGUUGAUGCUUCUUAUCUUGAAACACUGGCAGUGCUUUAUUGAAGAUAAUUUUCAUAGGUUAAAUGAUGUUCAGGAAAAUCCAACAACUUGCCAGUUGCCAGUUCAAAAGUGCAUUUAAAAUUAGAAAACUUUAAAGGUUCACAGGAAUAUAUGCUUGAGAACUAGAUUUGCUAUGAAUUCGGACUUUAGUUUAGUUUAUUUAUAUAAUUAUUUUUAAAAUCAUAUGACAUUUAAAAUUUUUUUAUUCAAAUCAUAGCAUAUGCAAUUUAUUUUUUUAUCUUUAAAUUAUAAUUUUUUGUGUAAUACUACAUACAAAAAAUGCUAAAUGUAUAAUUGAAGCCAACUAGUACAAUUUAAGACUUCAUUAAAAGCAUAAUUACUCAUGAUUAUAUAAGAUUGUAUAGAUAUAUAAUGUUCUAUUAAUUGCAUAAAGUUUCCUAAUUCCUACCAAAAAAAAAUUGCAUAAACUUAUGACUAAACCUCAAUAAUUUCAUGAGGUGGGUAUCAAUAAUUCAGUAUUAGAUCAGAGAAAAUAAUUUUUUUUUUCAAGACAAAUCAUGGAACCUAGAUCUUUUCAAUCCAUUGUGUAUUAUUAAGGGUCCAGGUAUCUUCCCAUGGUAUAAAUUGUAAAACUUAAAAUAUACAAAUUUAAUUUUACAAUUUAAAAUCCAAACAAGUGGGGUUAAUUUCAUCUGGUGGGUAUCAAUAAUGCAUGCAUAUCCAUAAUAAAAAUAAUAACCGCUUCGUACAUGAAUGUAAAAAGAUUUUAUAUGUGUCCUAUUUUAGUACUUUUUGCAUAGAGAUGACAAUGAAUCGAGACGAAUUUUUUUGUUCGUUUUGAAUCUAACUUAAUUUUAUAUUUUUAAUAUUUAAAUUUAAUUUGAUUUAUUAUUAUAUAAAAUCGUAAUUAAUAUAAUAUAAAAUUAAUAAAAUAUUAUUUUUAAAUAUAUAUAAUUAAAUAAAUAUAUAAAUAUAAAAUUAAUUUAAUAAUAAAAAAUAUUUUUUAUAUACUCAAGUCAGGUCAAUGAAAUUACCUAAAAUCUAAUCUCAAUUAAUAAAAAAUUAAUCUUAUAAAAUCAGAUAAAAUUAAAAUUUAAUGAGUACGGAUUGAAAUUCCAUCCUUACCUUUGCAACUAUAUUUUCUAGCAAUCCAUAAAAAAAAAUACACUAGGAAGAUCUGAAAUAAAAAAGAAUCAUCAUCGUCGUCAUAAUAAAUUAUCACGCACAAAAACCAGUAAAUAUUUGCCUGACCCACAUUGAGUUGGGUUGAUCUCUCAAUUAAUGUUCAUUUGGCAGGAACUUCCCAACUGGCUUAGAGGUUUGGCCACCAUUAUUUUUUUUCCAUUACAAGGAUGAGGAUAUGCCUUUAAAUCAUUCAUUAUAUAUUUUUAUCAAAUUGCAAAUAAAAAAAUCACAUGGUUCCCACUUCCGGUUUACUACCAAAGCUCUAUUGCCUCACGCAAAUAAAGAAACAUUACUGCGAUUUUUUUUUCUUCAUCUCUCAGCAAACUUCCCAUUUCAGUAAUUAAACAUGGCUUGUCUUUCUCCCAACCUUGAUUAGGGGAACUUAGCUGGUCCAAUUAUGAAACCCUACAUUAAUGUUACUUUCAUUAAGGUGUAAUGGUGCCAUGAUUUAAACGCAACCAUGCACGUAGACAUAAACCAAACUUUUGUAUUACAUUUCCUUUUAAGUAUCACAUGUACCAGCUAGCGACACGUGCGUCUAAAAUUAAUUUCUUAAAUUUUGCAAUUCUCCCCACUUCCGAUAAUGCAAUAAGAUGAGAUGAGAGUAGACUAUAUUAACUUUACAACAUUUAAAAAUGGAGUUUGUUACUAUAAGUAAAAGGGUCGGUAUAGUUAAUUGCUACCCUUCUAAUGAUCCUUUUUAGAAUGUAUAUUAAUCCUGAUUUUAUAGUUGUAGUCUGGAGUAAUCACCAAAAAAAAUAUUUUUUGGUACAAAAAAAUCGUAAUUUGAGAAUAAAAAAAGAUUUAAAAAUAUUGAGAUUUAAUUAAAUUUCAGAUUUAUUAGAUAGAAGUGAGCAAAAGACAAUUUAAUCAAUUAAAUUGAUCGAAAUUAAGUGAUUUCGGUUGAUUUGGUUCAAUGUAUUCGGUUUUGGCUAUAAUUAAUUUUUUAAAUUGGUUAAAUUAGUUAAUUCAGUCGAUUUUUUAUUUUUAAAAUUGAUAAUCAAAUUGAUUGAAUUAAUCAACUUUUUAAUAAGUAAAAGUAAAAAAAAUUGAGAUAAGCAUUUUUUUCUUUUAAAAUAUUGUUAAAAUUAUUAAAUUCUUUAGGGAUUUGUUUAAAUGAUAUUUAAGUUUUAUUGAAUUAAUUUUAUGAUUAAAUAAUUAUUCAUAAUAGAAAAAUAUAAUAAAAAUUUUUUUGUUUAUUUAAUCAAACCGACCAAAUCGAAUCGAUUUUGAUCGAUUCAGUUAUAAUUGUUUAUUUUAAAAAAUUUUAUCAAUUUGAUUAUUUGUUAAAUAAAAAUUGAUUAAAUUAAUUAUCGAUUUUUUCAAAUUGAACUGACCGAAUUGAUCAAUUAUUCACUUCUACUGUUAAAUAUUAUUUUUUAAGAAUAAUUAUAUAAAUUAAUUAAAUUAAAAUUUAUAACGAUCUAAAAACGUAAAAUUUUGAAACUAGACAUCAUUCAUUAACAUUACUAAUAUUUUUUUUCCCUAAACCUCUUGUCUGGUAAAAUUAUAGAGUUAACUUUUAUUGUAAGAAUAUACACACAUCUUUACUUUGGGGGAGGUGUAAAAUCAACUCAUGACUAUUAUGAUUACUUUAUCUAAUAUCCAUAUAUAAAUAUAUUAGAUUAAAAUUUGUCAAAAAAGAGGAAUAAUUAACUAAAUCUAGUGCCAAACCUCCCUUUUAAGAAAAGAGAUUCUUGAUUCAAAUUAUUCCCCUUCCAAACUUUCACCCAAAAAAAAAAAAAAAGUAAAGAAGAAAAAGGGGUCCAAAGGCAAAGGCUAGGGAUUAAAUUUUUGUAUAUACAGUGGGGUUGGGAAAGAUUUAGCAUAUAACAAGCAUUGGGGUUUUUUAGUUCCACUAGAAGCUUUAAUUUGGCUUUUCAACCUAGAGGCUAGAAGAUUUGUGAUAUUCCUCCAUUAAAAUGACUAGAUUCUAGGAUUUUUAAAGAAUUGUUAAAUAAUUAUUAGUGCAUGUAUUAGAAUGAAAUUGGACCUCUUGGAAUUUCAUAAUUAAAUCCCAUUAUGACCACCAAAAUUUAAUUAUAUAUUUUGAUUAAAAUUUAAUCAUAUGAUGUAUCUUUUAACUCGAUUAAAAUGCUCUCACCAUGGUUCAAAAUGGAGCCUAAGUCAUUUAAAUAUUAACUUAUCAAGAAACGCCCAUGGUGGAAAAAACCCACAAAUAAAGUUGGAGUAGAAACCAUGUCCCUUUCAAGCCCUAAUCAUUUUCUUAAUCAUAGCAAUAUUUUUUUUUACUAUAAUAUUUUGCUUCUUGAAUUCUAUUGCUUUUUUAAUCCUUUUCAAUAAUAUAUAAAAUAUUAAGAAAAGCCACUUGUCUUUUUUUUUCCCCAAUUUUCUCUUUGUUGCAUUUUUCUUCCUUUUUUUUUUCUUUAUGGAAAUUUUUGGUGAAAAAAGGAGUCCAAGAAAAUGACACUUUUUUCUUUUCCCGGUCCCUACGCUUGUUAACGAGAAUCAUGAUGAAGUCAAAAGGUAAAUCAUCUUGUGUUACGGUCAAAGAUUAGAGGGCACUAAUUCAGUGGCAUUGCAUCUUUUUUCUUAAAGUGUCUAACAUUCCUAAGAGAAUAUUGGACCUACAAAAUAAAAAACAUAUCUAAUACAAAUGUAUACAUUUUUUUUUUAAAUACGUUAUAUCUAAACUCUAAAUUUUAACCAUUUACAUCAAUUUUCUAUUAAUAAUAUAUAUAAUUAUUUUUAUAAAAAUAAUGCUAUUAUUUAUGCUCUUUUAAACUAAUACUUUUCAUCCUCAAAUUAAUUUCAGGCCCGCAUUUUUGUUUGAGGUAUAUAGAUACAAUGAAUAUGAUAAGUUUAAGUCUAUUUUUAUGGUUAAAAAUUAAAGAUGUUGAAACGUGUUUCCAUUCACAAACCACUGAUAUUUUUGGGGGUUUCAAGAUUUUUCAAGAUUGAGAAUGGAAUUUAGGAUAAGGAAAAAAAAAAAAUCUACUGAAAAUCACAAGAGGGACCAAAUAUAACUCCAAUCAUGGAAAUCAUGGAAGGCGACUUCGUUUGGUAGAUUGGGAAUCAAAAGAAAAAAAGUUGUGGGAACCACAUGAUAAAUUUAUAAAAAAUAACAAAUAAUCUGUAAUUAUCUUUUCGAUUAUUAUAUGCAAAGCUUUGUCCAUACCUAGUUUUUGACAUAAAAGACUAUGAAAGAUCGUGUCCCAUUUUCAAUGAGCUAUCAAUUUUAUGCGAUGCGUUAAAGCAGAAAAAAAAUAAAUAAAUCAAUCUUUUUGAAUGCAACGUUUGAUGCUUGAAGUUUUUGAAAAGAUUGUUCCAACUAUUGGAACAAAUGAACGAUGGUUGAAGCAUAAGCAUCAACAUUAAUAUUGCACAUUCGAAAUAGGUAUUUAUUGGAAGGUACAAAAAUAAAGUAAUUUAUUGAAUUUAAAUUUUAAUUUAAUUAAUUUAUAUAAUUAUUUUUAAACGAUAACAUAAUAAUUUUAAAAUUUAAAAUUUAAAUAUCAUAAUUUGUAAUUAUUUUUCUUAAUCUCGUAUGAUUUUUUUUUAAAUAAAGUAAUCUUGCUAAAAAAAAAAAGGUGGAAAGAAAGAUCAAACUCUAACUUUAUUAAAAGGAAUCAUAGCAUUGAUAUACGUUACAUUUUGCCUUUUACUUGUGACAUUUUUAAUUUGAAUCCAACCUUUUAUGAUGAGCCUAAAACCUAGGAUUUAGGAACCAAAAAGCAGCGAAAUGUCUAUCAAUGAAAGUCGGCCCAUAUCAAACUUUUUCCAAUUUCAUUCAUGUUAUAUUAUUUUGUUUUUUUUUUUUAUUUUUUUUAAAGAGGCUAAGAUAUUUUAUGUCUGCAUCAAGAACUAACGCCGACCCAUGGCAGCCCACGUAAAUUCCAUGCACGUUGAGCCCAAAAAAAAAAAAAACCAAUCACCAAUAAUUGAAAUAAAAUUAAUUUCAUUUAAAAAAAAUAAAAAUAGCAUAUUAAGAUAAAAUUAAAAGGGUGGAGAACCUUUGUGGAUCGAUGGGGCGUAAAAUAUUUAAUAAUAAAUAUUUUUAUUUAAAAUUUUAAAUAAUUUAUUAUUAUAUUAAUCUUGAAUGCAUAAAUUUGAUUUAAAAUUUUAUAUUUUUAUAUAAUGAUGUGAUUAAUUAAAUAAAUAAUUAUCUGUUUUGAAAUCAAGAGUGAUGACUGAAAAUUAAAACGCUGCUGCUUAACAUAAUUAUUGAGCAUGAAUUUUAUAUAUCAUUUAUAAAAAAAAUUUCAUUUUUAUAAUUUAUUUUUGUAAAAUUCUAGUAAUAUGAAUCAUCAAUUUUUUUAAGGGUAUUCACUAUUUAAUAGUAGUACACAGAGAGAGGAAAAAGCAAAAGAUGUCAAAAAAGCUACAGCUCACAGCAUAGAUUUGUGGGGUCCAUCCAUGUUUGUAGCUCUGGAUUUGGUCGUCCCCUGCUGCCCGGCUCUCGCCUCGUCUUGCCCGCUCGCUUCCCCAUUAACAUCUCGGCUCUUUACCAUUUACUGGCAGUAACAUUUUCUAAUAUUACGUUCCAUACUAAUAUAAAUAAAAUUUAUUUUAUUUUAAUAAUAAUUGUACUCAAAUAUAUAUUUUUAAUGGCAAUGAAUAAUGAUCAUGGGAGUUUGUAUUUAUUGUUUUUUCUUUUUUAAAAUUGAGCUUUUUUUGUUAUUUUUUUAUUAAAAUUUUAAAAUUAUCGUUCAUAUAAAUGAGAUUCAUUUUGUAACUAUAGAUCUCAAAUUUGUAAAUAAAAAAAAUAAAUGUAUUGAAAAUUAGUACUAAUGAAUAAAAUAAAAUUAAUGUACCCAUUUUCUUUAGGCUUUCUACUAAUAUUUUAUUUUGAUAAUGUGAUAUUUAUGUUCUAAUUGUAUGAAAGAAAAAAAAAUAACAAGAAAAAUUCAUUUUUGAUGGGUCAUAUGUUCUUUUGUGAUUCAAUUUAAUCUUUAAUAUUGAAUUAUCAAGAUAAGUAUUCUUAUCGGUUGCAUUAUUCCUAAUAGAAUUAAUGAUAGUUUUGAAUUUGGCCAAAAAGAAAGAAAAAUUUUAAAGUCACCCUUAUUAUUAUUAUUAUGAAAAAUAAUUUUAUUCAUUGUCAGUGAAAUUUUUAAAUUUUACAAAUGAAAUUUGUAAAAAAAAAAAAAAACUUUUUAUUUAUUUAUUUUUUAUCAUUUGAUAAAAUGUAUACACUUUAUCUCUAGUAAUGAAUACAUGAAUUUAUCAUUGAAGGAGUGAUAUUUGCUUGAUCAUUUUGAAUGAUGGCUACAAACUUUCACCAUUGGUCUUAUGAUCUCAGCCCAUGCCCUAAUGUUAGGCUAAUUUUAUCUCAGCCCAACUAGCAUAGCAUACGCAAUACAUGCAUGAUAUUGUUAAUAAAAAAAUAUAGGCAAAUAAUACACAUGCUCUCAAAUAUGGCAAAGAAUGAAGAAAAUCAAACCACUUAAAAAAUUUGCAAAACCUAAGAACAAAAAAUAAAGUUAAAUCAUUUGAAAUAUGCCAUCAAUCGUGUAAUCUAUUGAUCGAAUAUUAAAUUUUUAAUUUCGUAAAUGAAUAUGAUUAGAUUUUGAAUAAUUUAAAAUAAUAAAGUUAGUUAUAUGUCAUUAAAAAUGAAUUUUGAAUUUUAGCAAUCCAAGCAAGUUGAGGGCAGUGCAUGUGCUUAUAGCUUGACUCCUAAGCAAUUCAGUGCAUCUAAAUCUGCUAUAUAUAUAAUAAUAUGCUUUAGGAUGUUGGAUACAUGUAACUUCAGCUUCUGCACCUGUGCAAGGAAGGAAACCCUUUCCUUCUAUGACAGAAUAAUAAUUAUCACUAUCAGAAACUAGAAAUUAACCAUAUUUCAGAACAUAUUCCUUCAUAAGGGGAUGAUAAAAAGAAACCAAUGAUUAAUUUCCUUCUCUCAGGUCUGUUUGAAGCAUGGCUAGCCACAAUCCUUUUAAAUCCAUGCCCUACUUUCAGUUAAAAUUUCUUAAAUCAUGCUUGUUUCCAGGUUUAUAUCUAGGGUUAAUUUUCUUUUGAAACCCUAAAUGGGAUAUGUUGCCUCUUGGUUCAAGUAACCUUUGCUUUCUGAUACAGUAUACUGUAGUUUUCAGUGACAAUAGGUAGGUUCUAAAUCAAACAAAAACAAUAAUUGUGUAUUUUUUCCUCAUGCUUUUUGACUUGUCAGACAGAAGCAUAUACUUUGAUGUAUUGAUUCAGGUAGCGGAUGUAUCCAAGAAACCAGCCCUGGCUUUUGCUGAUGGCCAAAGUUGGAACUUAGUGAAGAUUAGACUGACAUAAUUUUGGACAAAUUACUGUUUAACAAUAUGUUAUGGUUGCCCUAAUCACCAUGCACACCGACCCUCGAAUGGGUGCACGUCUCUAAUUAGACGAAAUAUGCGCCGCAACUGAUGAUUAAUGAAACUUUCAAACAUCUUUUUAGUUCUUGAUCCCAACAUUGAAAGCGACACUUGAACUUAAGUGUUGUAAUCUUAAUUAAUUCUCUAACAACCAAGAUUUCCUUUGUAUUAGUAUUAGUCAAAUAUAUAGUUAUAUAUAUAUAGGACAAGUUCAACAAGAAAACGACAAUAAUGGAGAGUGGAGAGGCAAUAUAAUAGAUUGAUUAAUGUGGAGCCCAUUGUGUUUAAUUAUGUUUAAUGUUUAAUGACAGCAUGGGUGAUUGAUGUUGAAAGUGUCAUUAAUAAUGAUUAAUAAUAAGAAUAAUCAAAAGGGGGUGGGGGGUUAGACUAAUUCCCUUCUUCUAAACAAGAGGCAUAUUUACAAUGCAAGAGAGACACAAACAUAUGUAGAAUCAAGCAUGGUUGACCAGAUGUUUCGUUUUUGUGUUUGUGCUUUUGUCUGAACUUUUUUUUUUUUUUUUUCAAAGGGCAUUGGGAGGCAAGAAGAGCAAGAAAGCAGACCAACAAAGCCUCGGAUCUUUUCUUGAUCAUGUUUUGGGUGACAGAGUCUCCAACAAAAGAGCAAACUCAUUACCAUACUUGUGUUAAUUCUGCUGUUUGCUGACCAGCCUCAUCCUCUAAUCAUUUCUAUCCAGGCUAAAAAUGAAAAAAAAAAAGGAAAAAAAGAAAAAACUACUGUGCCCACAACCACAAUAAUCCAAAUGUUUUUCAAGUCAAAAUUUUAUCCUCUUGACUUUGUUUUUUCUUAUUAAAAAUUAAUAAAAUUCGAAUUAUAAUCAAUGAAAUUUAAAAUGUAAUACUCUAUCAACAAAUGACACGACACCUCUCAAUUUUAUUGCAAUAGUGCAAAGUUGUGAGAACACCUAAACUUAAAGGCUAACAUAAAUUCUAUGCCAUUCUUCUGGCCAAAAUCUUUGCAUCAUUUCAAAAGUUCCUGAACCUUUAAUUAAAAGCCAAAGAAAAGAAGAACCACCCAUUGUGAAAUGAUGUACCAAACAUGCAAAUGUUUUUAAUGUAACAAUAAAUUUCUGCAAAGAAUAUGAAGUACUUUAAAAAAAAAGUAAAAAAUAAUCACUACCCAUUUAUUUAUUUCUCAUCCUCUUGUGGGAAUACUAGAUUUCUCGGCUUUAUGAAAUUGUUUUUGGAUCUUUGAAGUGUAUGUAGAGAUUCUGAUCUUCACAAUAGAAUAUUUAAAGUCUUGAUUAAGAAUCAAUUAAUGCAAUAUUAUGCAAAGGGACCACUUUUGAAACACUUACAUCAAAUCAAGUGCACAUAAAAUAUGGGUUUGUUUAAACUAAUCUCUGCAGAUUUUCUUCUUACAGAAAUUGUUAAAUAAAUGGAGAACAAUGAAUAUUAAAAAAUUUUACUAAUUUCUAUGUGGGGAUGAUAAUUAAAAAAAUUGGAGUAGAUUACUUGUUGCAUUGACAGAGUGAACAGUUUAAAAAAUUUUGUAAAGAACUUUUAAGAUCUUGCAUAGGCAUCAAGAUAGAUGGUGUGGGACAGAGGGGAAUAAAUUAAGGUAGUUGGGGGGACAGCUUCUCUGGAAGUCACUAGGGCCAAAAAGAAACACUCCCAACUUUGAAAUGUGGAGACGAGUGGGAAUAUCCUGCUUACAUAAGAUAAAUUAUGAUUUUAAUUCUGAAAUGGGGCUCUAGCCCUAAUGAUCUUUCUCUUUACAUGGGAUUAGAUUUUUUUAAUAAAAAGUUUGCAAUUCAGAAUUGAUAAAAAAAAUAUAUAUUGUUUUGAAUAUUGUUUAAAAGAUGAUUAUAAACCUACACAAGUUUUUGCAAAAAAGUAUAUAAUAACAAAUAAUUUGCUUUUAACUUGAGUCAUAGCAUAUCUUCCAACUUGCACCAAAGGCUGCAAAUUCAAACAUAAAUGGGUUAGGAAAUGGGAUGAAUGGGUUUAUAACCUAAACCACAAAUUUGUGUGAAGGAAACCAUGUAUGGGCUACCUCACUUGCUGCACUUUUUUCCAGCAACUUGCAAUUUUAAUCAGGUUAUAGGAAGGCAAGCUUUUGACCAGAUCAAUGCUCGAAGACUCAACAUUUUUGGCCGUUUUCUUUUUAAACUUUGGGGUGAACAGGGCUGAAGCUGAUGGGACUCUGUUUUUUCAAUUGAAUGAAGUAGCAAAAACUUUUGUAAGUGUGAAAAUACCAUAGCUCAAGAAGGAUAAUGGAAGAAGAAAAUACUUGAUCACCGAAUAUUCUAGGUCUGGGUCCUUUUUGGAUUCUCUUCAAGCCUUGUAAAUGAAAAGAUUACAGAAAAUGCCUGGUCCAUCACAAAAUUUGGUUUUUACUUUCAACGUACAAGUAAAUUAAAUGUAAGGGAAACUUUUGAGGUGUAAUGAAAUUGAGAAAAUUACUCGUAUUCAAGUUCAAGUGUAAUAUCCAUCGAUUUCCUGAUAAACCCAUUACUCCAUUUUACAGUCUUUUUUCUUGCACUCAUUGAUGAUUGCUUGCAAGUGGUUCUGACUUUGAAUACAGGCCCCUAAGAUGACACACGAAACAGUCUUACUAACAAUCUGUAAUUGCAGAAGAACCUCUUCAACUGUCGUUAAAUUUUCAAACGUCCUCAAGUAGCGGAGUUAUGAAUCAAUCAGAGUGCAUUUGACAUGGAAAACCUUAGACGUUUCACCAUCUUCACUCUCUCACCUAUCCAUACCUACACACGCCAACUCCAUCUCCCCAUACACUUUUCUCUCAGUUAUGUAGCAUUCACUUACUAACUUUCAAUUUCACUCCCUAGAAAUCAUAUUGUAUGCUACUCAGAGAAAUUUUCGAUGGUAGAUAGCCCUCACUCAUCUUCUUCAAAGUCCAUGAGAAAAUCAGUCAAGUUCUCUGAAUCGUCGAUAGCCUCUUCCAAGGACAUUGGGUCCUCCUUUUUUGGCUUAGCCUGCAAAGUCAAGGAAGAAUACAUAACAAAAUUGCCUGAAACAGACCGUAAUUAAGUGAGCAAGUAGAAUUAUAAGUUAGCAUUCAAGUUUGAAUGGUUGCUUUCAUAGCUUUCCAACCUCCAAAUUUUCUUCCUUCCACUAUUUGAUGCUCAUUUGAGGUACUCCCCAAAAAAGUAAGAAAGAUAAAAUCGUGCUAGAAAACUACCAAGCCAGACAAAAAAAUGACAACAAAGAAGCACCUUUGACUUUCGAAGCUGAGGAGUACUUUUCAGAACACUCCAAUUGCGUGUGAUUUUCUCCUCUUCUUCUUCACCAUCAACAUUACUGUCUUCCUCUUCAUCAUCCUAUAAAGUAUUUUUCAAAACAGAAAAAUGUCAUUCUCAAAACAGCCAAAACUAUAGUAUGAAGCAACCACUUCCAAGAAUGAAUAAAAUAGUUAUAAAAGAGAAGAUGAAAGCUAAAGCAGAAAAGACAAUUAGACUCACUUCAUUUUCACCAAUAUCAACAGCUUGGGCCAUAGCAUCAUCUAUAUCUGUCAUCUGCAGUAAUUACAAGUUAUCAGUAACUAAUUGAAAUUAACACUUCUAGUAAUGAUUGGUUUGCUUCAACAGUUUUAUUCAGCAUUAGUAAUUCAGCUAAAAUCUGAAAUAAAAACCAACCAAAGGGAAAGAUAAAAUAACAACGUCAUUGUGUGAUAUGUGUCAAAAAGUAAAUAAUUAAUACAACGUAUAUCCUAUAUACUUCUACCGCAUGCCAAUUUAUUCCCCUUUAUCACAUUCCAGUAUACUUUCAUUUCUAAGAAAAUUUUAGUUUUCUACUUCAACAGGCAACCAACUUUCUCAAGCUCAAUAAAGUAACAUAGCUAGGCAUUUAAAUGGCACAACUUUCUCAAGUUCAUGAAGUCUGUACUCAUUAUAAUUACCUCGAGUUCUUCAGUCUUCUUCUCUUUUGCCAAAAUUUUCUCAAGCUCCUCCCUUGUUAUGAGUUUGCCAUGCUGAUCAGAGGGAAUGUAAGCACUUAAUGGAGGCAAUAAUAAUUGGAAAACAAAAAUUAAGAACAAGACUUCAAAAAUUAUCAAGAAUUCUAACUCAAACGAACCCAUUGAGAUGACCCAAGAAUUUCGCUAUUUCGAUUUUUCCAGUCCUUGGGAACAGCGUAGCGACGGAUAAU